AAUCUUAUAGUUUCCUUCCCUCCUUUUUUGCGGGAUAACCCUAUAGUUUCCUUCUCUCCUUUUUUGCGGGAUAACCCUAUAGUUUCCUUUUCUCUUUUUUGCCGGAUAAUCCUAUAAUUUCCUUCUCUCUCUCUUUUGGGGGGUAAUCCUAUAGUUUCCUAUAAUUUGAUGCUUAACACAGUAUGCUUGUGUUCCUUCGAUUUCAGGUGAGAUUAACUAAGGAAGCUAUCUGUAUUUGGGGCAAAAUGUUGUGACAUAAACCAGCUCCAUCAACACUCGGUUUAAUUCCCUGGUACAUUAAUCUCUCUUGCUUGGGAGGGGCGUUUUGCCUCCCGGGAGCAUUUGCUUCUAGAUGAACAGUGCCGAAAAAAAGUGGUAAUAUGUUUUUAAAAAAUUCUAAAUUUUUUGUGAAUGUUCGCGUUAGUGUCGAAAACAUGCUUGACAAUUUUCAUGCGAAACGGAGCAGUAGUGUUUCUUCGGUGAUUAAAAACAAAUUUGAGAUGACAUUUUGAUGUAACAUUUGGUGUUCAAAUUUGUUUUUUUGCACAGGCCAAAAUGUUUAACCUUUUGCCUAAAGAUUUGCAUGUAGCAUUUGGAUGUGACUAUAAAUACAUAAAAAUAUCUGUUGUGAUUUUUUUGGCAUUCAAAAAUUGUUUUUCGUGCAGGAACACGUGAUCCCGGGAGCCAAAUUGGAUUUCCGCUCUUGCUCUUAUUUUCAUGAUAGUAUAUAUAUAUAUAUAUAUAUAUAUAUAUAUAUAGUGUUACUAUUCAUCAUCCAGGGUGCAGAAUAAGUUAUUCUUCACCCGAGGUAAUCUUACGAUCAUUUCAUAAUUAAAUUACGUUUAGAAUUCAAAUAGUUACAUUCCUAUUGAUUCACUACGUAAAAUUUGACAUAAAAAAAUAAAAAUAUAGGUCAUAAGACAAGAAAAUUUGUAGUUUAUGUGUAUUUUAGACUAUGUUUUUAUGUUUGUAAUUUUACAUAACAUAAAAUAUUUUUUACGGCGAUUAUAUAUUUUCUUACGGUCUCUUUUUACGUCGAAAAUAAGACANNNNNNNNNNNNNNNNNNNNNNNNNNNNNNNNNNNNNNNNNNNNNNNNNNNNNNNNNNNNNNNNNNNNNNNNNNNNNAUAUAUUUGUGUGUGUGUGUGUGUAACUAACUCAAAAUGGCCUAAAACUAAUGUUUUUUGUUCUACCGCGACAACCCGUUUUUGCUGGCAUGACAUCUUCUUCCACAGGAAUCGAAUUCCGUUGCCAUGGUAGCAUUUUUCUGUCAUGGCAUCCUAUUUUCUCUCUGUUGCAGCCCACGAGCAAUCUCCUUGUUAUUUCAAAAAUAACUUUGAUCAUUAGUUUCACCACAUAACGUAGGUUACAUGUCAUAAAAGUUAUACCAUUGAAUUAGUGUUGAAAUGUACGGUACAUUCUUUGUGACAAAAUGUUUACAUAUUGUUGUGAUGAAAUUUAUGAUCAAAGUUUAAACAUGCAAAACAAGAGCAUUAGAGCAACCCUAGCAAAGUUGUCAUAUCAGACAAUCGGCAUAAUAAUCAUUGUUAUGGCGAUUUUGGGCCAAAAUAACAUUGUAGCAGAGUCGGCAUAUGCCCCCCGAUCGGCAUAAUUUAUAGAGAAUGCGUUGUAUCCUGCCUGUGAGCCUCCAUAUUUGGAGGUUGUGAGCAUUGGUUUGGAGCACUCGGCAUCCGUCAACCGCUCGCGUGGGAAGGAAGUUUCACCCUAGAAUGUUCCUCCCAUUUUUCACCAGAGCGUGCCCGUUUGCGGGUACAUAAACCCCCAUCCACCCCCUUCGCUAGCGCCACCACAUUCACCGUCUACCCCCAUCCCCGUCGUCGGCACACUAACCCCAUCGACCCGCUUUGUCGUCUUCCACCCCACGCCCUCUCUUCCCCCAUUACCAUAUCGAUUCCAUUGCGCCCUCCCCACAGACCUUUCCCCGGCGAGACCAAACGGGGAUGCGCUGAGAGAUAGUUUCGACAGAGGGCGUGGGACCUCUUAGAGUGCGUCGAGGAUGACGCACGUCAUAAGGCUGGAUCAACUGUCGGUCGCGCCCGCCUCUCCUCCUCCCUUUAGUACUUCGACCAUAUCAAUGGUCGUCUGCCCAUAAAUGGAGGCCACACUCAGAUUGGCCUUAAAAAAUGAUGGUGUAUCCCGCAUCCAGGACGCACGGGCAUUCGUUGAUCGAUGGAAGUCAUGGGAUCCAAAAUAUUCAUUGCAUAAUUAACAUAUGAGCAUCACGACCGUAAAUCCAUAGACUGUUAUUCAGUUGCAUCUAUAGCUAAUACUCCAUCCAAGGCAAAGCACAUUUGGCUCUCGGGUGUAGGUGCACCCUGUAUGGGAAAAUAAAAAAAAUAAAAGUCAAAAAGUUACUCCCUCCAUUAUUAUUUACUCCGCAUAUUGGAUUUGACCUAAGUCAAACUUUAUAAAGUUUAACCAAGUUUAUCGAAAGCAAUCUAAACUUCCACAAUAACAAAUAUAUAUGGUAUGAAAAUAUAUUGAAUGGUGAUUCUAAUGGUAUUGAUUUGGUAUUGUGGAUGUUAAUAAUUUUUUGUAUAAACUUGAUCAAAGUUUAGAAAGUUCAACUUGAGACAAAGAUAAUAUGUGAAGUAAAUAAAAACGGAGGGAAUAUGAAACUUUGGGGAACAAACUUGACCUUCUGUUGUGUUCAUAUGAAAAGUUUCACCAAUGAAUGACUUUCAUUGUAUUUUGGGUGGGAAAAAACAAAAUCAACACUGCAUAAGUUAGUAGUCACCCUUUUUGUCUUUGAAAUUUUGAAAUUUUUUUAGGGGAAAUUUUUGAUUUUUCCUGAAGUUGAUGAGAUUUUUUUUUCUUUGCGGAGCUUUUUAUAUGAGAGGUCAAGUUUCUUUCCCAAAAAGUUGCGAAUUUUUUGACUUUCCCGAAUUAAUAUUUUUUGACUUUUCUGAAUUGGUUGCACGUCUCUCUCUUCCCUCACGCCCUGUAGACUGUGUCUCUGGUAAAAAGUUUUGUCACAUGCAUGCUCAGUCUGUCUCACCGUCUCACGCGCAUUGUCCCUAAAAAGUUUUGUCACAUGCAUGCUCAGUCUCUCUUGAAAGCUCUCUCACAUGUUGCACAUGCUCGCAUGAUGUUUCCUUGCUUACAUCAGCCACCAUGAUGUCAUAUAUCUAUCAACCCACAUAUUUUUGAGAUAUCUUCACUGGUUUGCUGGGUGUUCAUAUGGGAUGCAAAUCCAAGCGCUGUAUUUUGAAGGACUUAUAUCAACCCACAUAUUCGUUUUCACUUGUUAACUUUUAGUUUAAAUCUCAAUCAUUACACUUAAUCAAGGGAUUAGAUAAUUUUACCUAUGUCUAUCAGGGUGGUGGCUUGUUUUCUCUUAUUUCAUAUUUUGGGCGGAUGGAGUAGACAGAUCCGUUCCAUAAUGUAGUAUGUAUAAAGUUUUUGAAAAGCAUACUUUAUAAACUUUGACCAAGUUUACAGAGAAAACUAUUUAUUUAUAUAUAUAUAUAUAUAAUAUUAAUUAUAUAAAAUACGAAUACAUCUUAUAAUCACUCUAAUGAUAUAUGUUUGGCAUUUUAGAUGUAAAUAUUUUUCUUCAUAAACUUGGUCAAAAUUUGUGAUGUUUGACUUUUUAAAAAUACACAUGCACUGCAUUAUGAAACAGAGGAAGUACAGGGAGUACAUAAUAGGCUGAUAAUAUUAAAAUUCACAAUGUAUAAAGUUAGUACAAAGUUGAGUCACUUAUUUUAAGACAAAUGGAGUACUAUAUUUGAAUAUCAGGUAAUUUACACUCGGCAUUAGGCUAUACAAUGAAUUUUCCUGUAGUGUACCAUUCCCUUAUAACGACCCAUCUACCAAAUAUGAGUUUAAGAAGUAUCCAUAAACUCAGGGUACGGUGGAGUGUAGUACUUCAACGUCGACCCUGAAACCACUCGUAUCUUUUUGGAUGCAGUUGUUUCAACCCGGCAAGCUAUCCAACACCGAAAUUCAUCAGUACACGUCGCAGUUCGGACCCUAAGGGCUUUGCGGAAGUUCGGACACGAGUCACAUAGGACUCCGACACCCCGGCCCAUUCAAAACUGAGGCGGAUCCCGCGCCUUUGUAGUUGGUUGCACUGUUUUCGCGGCAAAAUCCCUCUAUCUCUUUUUCCAUCCAACCACUCUUCACCUAAUUCCCGUUCUUUUUUGCCCACUCUCUUCUUCCCUCCCGCCUCUAACGCAUGGACUCGGAGGAGAACCUGUGUAAAAGAUGUUGGUGGUGGAGGAUCCUAGCAUCACGCUCCUCCGGAGAUGAGAAAUCCGGCGGCCGAGAAGAAGCUCAUGCUCAAAGAGAAGAAGGUCAUGCUCAAAGAGAAGAAGCCAUGCUCGACGAGAAGAAGGUGGAGAUUGCAGCCACUUCGGAGGACGCGAAGAUGCUACCUUGAAGAUGGGAAUUUAGAUAAGGACACAAGGAUGAUCGUGUAAGCCAUCCAUUUCAAGAUGCUACAGCGGCAGAAGGAUGAGUUGGAGAGGGCGGAUGCGACAGAGAAGGACGUGGCAUCGUCCGAGAAGGCGGCAGCGAUAGAUUGAGCAUGGAGGCUCGAAUUGCCAGUACAGCAUGGCAGAAAAUUUAUUUUUUGUUGCAUAAACUACCGGACUAGUAUUUUUUCUAUGAUCGGGCAUGUAAAAAACUAAACAUAUUUGCCUCUUUUUAUUGUGCUUGGGCGAUGAUGUGAUCUUUUCAGGCGGAUUUGAAUUUCAAAUUUAUUUUGCUAGCGGGCAGUAUGCAGAUAGUUUUAAAUGACUGGCUUCCGCAUCCGUGUCGACGGCUGAUCUCCUGAUCCACAGCAUGCUCGGUUUGUGGGCAACGUUGGAGAUACACUGCAACAUACAGACCACACCAAAGCCCAGUGUCAGAUCCAGAGCUUCAAUAAUGGAGCUCACGAGCUGGCCAUGGCAAUCCCUGCUCCUGUUCAGCACCCUCUCUCUCGUCUUCAUGCUGCAUAGCCGUCGAAAAGGCAAGGAGCUCCCUCCAGGGCCGCCGGCCCUGCUGUUCCUGGUCAAGUUCUUGGCGCUCCGGCGGUCCAUCUUUGACCUUCCUCAGCUCAUACGCGAGCUGCACGCGCGCCAUGGCCCAGUAAUCUCCGUGCGCGUAUUCCGCCCGCUCGUCUUCAUCUCCGACUGCCACCUCGCUCACCGUGUCCUCGUCCAGAGCGGCGCGACCUUCGCCCACCGCCCGGACAUCUUCGAGCCGGGACUUCUGUUCACCUCCGGCGCCCGCAACAUCAAUGCAGCGCCGUACGGUCCCUACUGGCGCCUCGUCCGCCGCAACCUCGCCACCGUGAUGUUGCACCCGGCCCGUGUCAGCCUCUUCGCGCCGGCGAGGCGGCGGACGCGCGACGGGCUCGUCGGCGACCUCCUCGCAGUCGCAGGCUCGCGGCCCGUCACGGUGAGGCCAUUGCUCCGUCGAGCCAUGUUCGAGCUUAUCGCGUACAUGAGCUUCGGCGCCAGGCUUGGCCCGGAGGUGCUGGACGAGAUACAGGAGCUGCAGCUGUGGAUUGUGCGUAGCAUUCUCAGCUACCCCAUCUUCUACCUCUGCCCAUCCCUCACCAAGAGGCUCUUCCGCAAGCGGUGGGCUGUGCACCUGGCCGUGCGCCGGAGGCUGUGCGAGAUCUUUGUCCCGCUGAUCCACGCCAGGCGGGCGCGGGACGAGGAGACGCCGGCGCCUUGCUACGCCGACUCCCUCCUCGCGCUGCGAGUGGCCGAGGAGGGCGACCGCCCGCUGACGGACGACGAGGUGGUCAGCCUGUGCUCCGAGUUCUUGAGCGCCGGGAAUGACGGCACGGCGACCGUGCUGGAGUGGAUCAUGGCGGAGCUUGUAAACCACCCCGAAAUGCAGGCCAGGGUCUACGAGGAGGUCAGGAGCAAGCCGGAGCUAAGCGAGGGCGACCUGCAGGCACUGCCGUAUCUGAACGCCGUGGUGCUGGAGGCGCUGCGGCUGCAUCCGCCGGUGCACUUCCUCAUCCCGCACGGCGUGCAGAGCGACGGCGCGGAGAUCGGCGGCUACAGGGUGCCCAGGGGCGCGGAGGUGGGGCGCGACGAGACGGUGUGGACGGCGGCGCGGGAGUUCCGCCCGGAGCGGUUCUUGGACGGCGGCGAGGGGUGCGACGUGGACAUCACCGGGAGGAAGGAGAUCAAGAUGAUGCCGUUCGGCGCCGGCCGCAGGAUUUGCCCCGGGUACACGCUCGGCAUGCUUCACGUGGCGUACUUGGUGGCGGGCCUCGUGAGGGAGCUGGAGUGGCUGCCGCCGGCGGACGGGGAGCAGGUGGACAUGGCCGAGGUACUGGAGUUCAUCACGGUCAUGAAGCAGCCCCUCCGUGCCCGCACCAUCCCAAGGUGUUGAAGACUAGUCCGCUGCCCUAUCUGCUGCACUACAUUUACAUUUACAAUCAGCAGCGUCACUUGACGAGCUUACUGGAGAAAAUGGAAGAUCUAAUGUAAUUUUUAUUAUGUAAGAUAUUUUGUAUUUCCGAUGAAUUUUUAUAAUAGAUUUAAUUCUCUUCGUAAAACAAAAUGUACGUUCUAUGUACGUACUACAAUCAGCAGUAGCUUGAAAUCUUUGCAGAGCAUGUAGGCUGGUUGACCAGGUCUCUCAAAAAUGGAUUCUACGUACAUGAUGUUUGGUGUUACAAAAGCAAGCAGGGAUAUUUCUUCUUGGAAAGACACGCGAGUCUUUUCGAGGAAAGACAUAUUGAAGUAGAAUUAAAAGAAGCACAACCCAUAAAUUAACAUGUCACAAAUAUAGUUUGUAACUUUUAAAAAAAUGCGAACAUUGAAAUUGCCUUAGCUGCAUUACAAAUCUAAUAUACUAAAAUUUAACAUUUCAUUUGUAUGCACUUCUACAACAAUUGAACUUUGCAACUCUAUGAAUUUUAAGAUGGUCCCUUUUAGAGGAUCUCCAACAGCUUCCGAAAAACCUUCCCAUGUGAGUGUUUAUUAGAGCUCUUCCAAAAAUGUAUUGGGUUUCAUAUGUGUAACAAAUUCCAAUACAACUUCUUCUAUACUUAGCUUUAUUGAAUUGAUGCUCCAGCCAACUCAUCCUAGUACAGUUCACUGGACUGCAGUUAAAAGAAUCUUGAGGUAUCUAAAGUUUACAAUGGGACUUGGAAUUAAAAUUAUCAAGUCGCCAUCUAUGCUAGUAAGUGCAUAUUCCGAUGUAGACUGGGCAGGGUGUGUUGAUGAUAGAAGGUCUACAGGUGGAUCUGUUGUGUUCUUGGGAUCGAAUCUUGUGUCAUGGAAUGCAAGGAAACAGGCUACAGUUUCAAGAUCCAGUACGGAAGCAGAGUAUAAGGCUCUUCCUAAUGCUACAACUAAGAUCAUGUGGAUUCAGACUUUGCUUUAUGAACUGGGAAUAAAAACUCCACAAGUCGUAAGGUUAUGGUGUGAUAAUAUUGGUGCAACCUAUCAUUCAGCAAAUCAUGUAUUCCAUGCACGUACAAAGCAUAUAGAAGUUGACUUUCAUUUUGUCAGGGAAAGAGUAGCUCGAAAGCUACUAGACAUCAGAUUCAUUCCUACAGGGGAUCAGCUAGCGGAUGGAUUUACUAAACCUCUCACAAUGAGAUGACUGGAUGAAUUCAAAUACAAUCUGAACCUAGACAAAGCUCCUUAAGUUUAGUUUGAGGGAGGAUAUUAGACGGAUAGGUAGCUUGGGUUUAAACAUGUAAUCUCUUUCUAUCUCUUUCUCUGUUCUCCCUCUUGUAUCGGUCUCCUUGAACCAGGACACAUCCUAGCGAUCGUUCGUAACUUGUACGCCACGGCCAGCUAUCGCCUCAAUCAAUAUAACCCCGUGGUCUGCUACGGCAGGUAGAUACGCUUCCAUAUUUUACAGGCCUGACAUAUAUGCCCCCACUGGCCAGUCUCUAAUCCCUCUCACUUUCUCUCUUACAUGAUAGAAGGCACUGAUGGCGGCGAUGAGGCAGGCUGACGGCGUUAAGGUGGAGACAGGCAAUGACGAGGUGAUGAGUGUCGGUCCGUGGUGAGGUGAGGCAUGCAUGGGUGGGAAACGACGAUGAUGCAGCCGCCGUCACGACGGGUACGCCGAGGCUGCCUGCGACAUGGCAUGGACGGCAGCGAGGCGGGACGUCCACUGAUGAUGGCUGGCACGCGCAAAGGCGUGAAGGUUUAGGCGGUUGCCUCCCGCCGUCAAUUGGAUUAUAGAGGAAGAUGGGUUUUUUGUGAUCAUCAAUUUUUUGGGGGUAAAUAGAAAUUAAUACAAUAACCCCUUAUAGGAUUUAUAUAUUAGCGGCGUGCCAGUAAAUUCUCAUAAAAGGUGUGCUAACUUACAUAUCACGGGUCUGGUAACUUGGGUACCUUCGGGCAUGAUAACUUUUAAACCAAAAAACGUCGUCGGGAGAUACCAACACGACAUCUAGUUUCGAAGAUCUCGUCCUGGCAGAUUUGAUGAUGAAAUUGAAUUUUGAAUCGGACCGAUGGUUUAAGCUACACAACAUUUUUGGAUUUUCGAAAUGAGGAUAAUAUAGGAUGACGUUAGUUUUUUUUACUCUAGUGCAUGCAUGCAUGUGCACAUGGGAGAAGGUUGGGAACUUUUUUUUAUUGUCUGCUAGAUUCUGUUUGAAUAACAUGGUAACUUACGUGUCAUAAACAUAAGGAAAACGUUUACUACCGGCGCACCGGCCGAAGCUUUCGGCCGGUCGCGUCCAGGCGCGCGAAGCUACAACGACUGAAGUUGGGGAUAGGCGGAUCCACCACGUUAUCUUUUUCCCCACCUUCCAUCUCCCGCAUCCUUCUCCUUUCCUUUUACCUGGUCUUUUUUCUCUCCCCUCAUCCUAGCUUCCAUGGAAGUCCUGCUCGGCGAUNNNNNNNNNNNNNNNNNNNNNNNNNNNNNNNNNNNNNNNNNNNNNNNNNNNNNNNNNNNNNNNNNNNNNNNNNNNNNNNNNNNNNNNNNNNNNNNNNNNNNNNNNNNNNNNNNNNNNNNNNNNNNNNNNNNNNNNNNNNNNNNNNNNNNNNNNNNNNNNNNNNNNNNNNNNNNNNNNNNNNNNNNNNNNNNNNNNNNNNNNNNNNNNNNNNNNNNNNNNNNNNNNNNNNNNNNNNNNNNNNNNNNNNNCUUCUUCUCCGGCGAGUAUCCCCGAAGCCAACCCCUGAGCCAGUGUCCUCCCCUCUAUUCCCUCUCUCACCUCCAUCUACUACUGCUCCGUGACGGCUGGAGCUGCAACGGACGUGGCCGGCGAAGUUGCGUCCAUGGGCGGAGCUGCACCUGAAGAAGGUGCUACAACCAGCAUCCGCCCGAGCUGGUGAAGGCGACCACAGGUGUUGCAACUAGCGAUAAAAAAAUCUUCAACCAGAAGGACGAUGAAAGCUGGGUCGGUCCCAUAGAAGCUGCAACCGGCGUCUAAGAAAGCUACAUCCGUUGAUGGAAAAAGCUUCAACUGACAACAGAAAAGGCUUCAACCGGUGGCGACAUAAGCUACAAACGAUGUGAAAAGCUACAACCGGCUACGGCGAAGCUGCAACCCAUCGCCAGUUUUGCUACAACCAGCCUUUUGUGUUUUGCUAGAAACCAGCGCUCACUCCCCGACCAUGGCCGACGACCCCCAAGUGUGCUACAACCAGUGACCAAAAGUGCUACAACCGGUAAGAAAAUUUGCUACGACGGGGCGAAGCUGAGGUGCUGCAACCGGUGACAGGCCAGAGCUAUGAACUGCGACCACCGGUCCGGCGAGCAGCGACCGUGGCAACGAUGAGACGAUGGUUUUUGCUUCGAGCACGUCUUGAUUUUGCUACUACCGGGUAACGUUUUUGCUACAUGCUUUGUACACAGAAAACUACAACCAUCGACAAAAAAUGCUACACCCUUCCAUGAAAAAAGCUUCAACGGAAACCAUGGAGAAAGCUUUUCAACCACGCACUGAAAUGAAAAUAGUUUCAAUCAUUUAUAGAAAAGCUUCUACCGUAGAGGGAAAAAGUUUCAACCAUUGAGAGAGAAAGCUAUAACCAGACUCUGUACAAUCAGAAAAGUUGCAACCGUUGACAGAAAGCUUCAAUCAUAUGUGCGAAAAGCUUCAACCUGGUGACCGGGGGUGGGCAAGAUGAAGAUGCUACAUGUUGGUUUUUGCUGGAACCAUACUUUUUUUGCUACAACCGGUGGACAUUUUUGCUGCUACAGACAAUCCGAGGAGAGAUGCAUCCUUUUGUGAGCUCGCCGUCUAGGCUUGUGUCCGGCGAACCGUCGUCACCGGAGCGUGGCUGUCAUGCACUGGAGUUGCGAGCGGUGUCACCGGAGCUGCAAGCCUGCAACCAUGGGCGCAUGCUGCUGCAUCCACAAAGGGGAGAAACACAUGAGGUGACACAGGUGACGGCGGCAACCGGCGGCGAGGGCGGCGACCGGCGGCGAGGGCAGCAGCCGGUGGUGAGGAAGAUGAGGAGACGCGGGAGGUGGUCGGCGCGAGCGGGGGCGGUCAGCGCGUGCGAGGCGGUCCUCUCCCUUUUCCAGCACGGGAGGUUGACGAUGGGAGAAAGGCGAGGUCAGAUUUGACGGUUAUGCGCGUUUAGAUCCUACCGCUCUGGGCCGACCGCCGAGUAAUUGGGCCGGCGCGGGCGCCCAGCGUUGCCCUAAACAUAAUAAGUUACGUAGCCCAGGAGUGAUAGAUUCUGUUCAAAAUUUCCGUCCGAGAGAUAAAACAUUUUGAAUAUUUAGACUAGAAAGAAUCUUUUUGUCGACAUUGCAUGCAUGCCCAGAUUCAAUGUGCUCCCUCGAUGGGAAGGGACGCGCGGGUUAGAGCAUCUCCAGCCGCGCCCCCAACAGGCCCUCCCCAGGCGUUUUUGCCACGCCGGCACCAAAAAACGGCCCAGUCGCGCCCCCAGGACGCCAAAAACAUCGGCUCGGGCCUUUUUUCCAUCCGGCGAUCACAGGACGAACCCGGCGCACUGGGGGGCAGUUGGGGGCUCCGGCGCAAGGGAAAAGCGCAGCUGGCCCACGCCGUCAGGGGAAAAGUCAAGGUUUUCUUCCCCGACUCGCCUCCCACCCCCCGCGCCCUCGGCCGCCAGUAGCUUUAUCCUGGUGCCGCCCGCCGCCUUUCACCACUAGAUAGCCAUUCCACGCCGAAAAAAUAGCAGAGCUUCGCCGCGGCAGCCCCUCCAGCACCAAUUGGGCGUUUCCGGCCGCGGAGGGGCAGUUUAGCGGCGGGAACACGCCCACCGGGCGCAAGGUGUUCGGCGAUUUGCCUGCCUCGGCGAUGGACUCGGAUGACGAGGAAGCGCUCGCCGCGCUGCUGGAGGAGGAAGCCGAGGCCGCCGUUCAGGAAGAAGAGCAUCUCAUGGUGCUCGCCGCCCUCGCCCAGCUGCUGGCGAGCAAUGAAAAGCCGCGACGAGGUGGCUCGGCGCCGGGGAGGGUGAAAGCAAAGAACCGGCAUCGUUUCGAAGGCUACUGCAUGCUCUACUCCGACUACUUCGCCGAUGCUCCACUUCACGGCGAGAAAACAUUUCGGCGCCGUUAUCAGAUGAGCCAAAAGCUCUUCCUCGGGAUUGUGAAUUCCAUCCGGGAGUUCGACAACUACUUCAAGUGCAAGAUGGAUUGCACUGGCGCACUUGGAUUCACCUCCAUCCAGAAGUGCACGACAGCGAUGAGGAUGCUUGCAUACGGAGCUCCCGGUGAUUCACUCGACGACUAUGGGCGCAUGGCCGAGUCCACCAGCAUAGAGUGUUUCUACAAGUUCUGUCGGGCAGUGGUGGCAGUGUUUGGACCGUAAUACUUGAGAACACCCAAUGCGGAAGACACUGCUCGGAUCCUAGCACAGAAUGCAGCAAGAGGAUUUCCUGGGAUGCUUGGAAGCAUCGACUGCAUGCAUUUGAAAUGGAAGAAUUGCCCAUUUUCUUGGCAGGGGAUGUACAAAGGCGCCAAAGGCGGUUGCAGUGUGGUACUUGAGGCGGUGGCCACACUGGACCUCUGGAUUUGGCACUCCUUCUUUAGUAUGUCAGGAACUCACAAUGACAUCAACGUGCUGCAGUGCUCUCCUGUCUUUGCCAAGCUUGUUGAAGGUCAUUCUUCUCCGGUGAACUUCGAGAUCAAUGGGCGGCACUACAACAAGGGGUACUAUCUAGCUGAUGGCAUCUAUCCCAGAUGGUCGACAUUUGUGAAGACGAUCUCAAACCAUGUGCCAGGAGGCAAGAACGCCUAGUUUGCGAAGGUUCAGGAGGCUUGCAGGAAGAUUGUCGAGCGGGCAUUUGGUGUGCUUCAAUCUCGAUUUGCUGUUGUCCGGUACCCCGCUCAGACCUGGUCGAAAGAUCAAAUGUGAGAGAUUAUGACUUGCUGUGUCAUCUUGCACAACAUGAUAAUCGAGAGCGAGCAAGAAGACCUAGUGUUUGACACUGAACCAUACUACAGACAGGGUCCUCUAGCCGAAGUUGAUCCCCAGCUACCGGCAACCUGGACUGCCUAUCUCAGUAUGCGUCAGGAGAUCCGAGACCCACAGGUGCAUCAUCAACUGCAGCAAGAUCUGAUAGAGCAUCUAUGGAGGCUCAAGGGCGACGCCGGGCGCUACGUGUGAUGAAAUAUGAGUUUUUAUUUGUUGAACUAUAUAAUUUGUAUUGAACUAUUUGUUGUUGUACUAUUUUGUUGUAGUAUUUGAUAUUUCUGUGAUAAAAUAUGUGAUAAAAAAAUUUAUGUGCAUAAUUGAACGCCAAACAACGGCGAGCCACACCGCAUAUGGGCCCUUUAUUCACCGAAAUGGGGCUGAAAAGUGUGCCAAUUUCGGCGCCUGAGGGCGACGACUGGGCGCGAAACCACCCCCAGCGUCGAUUGUAUCGCCGGCUCGUCAGAGGGCGAUUUUUAUGCGUCCUGGGAAGCGAACGGCUAGAGAUGCUCUUACAUGUGUGAAAAUUCAAAGUCAAGAAAAAAGAAACGCUCGAACCGACUCGCCUUCCUGUCUUGCCGCGAACGAAACGAUCAAGGACGCGGAACCGCCAUCGGCCAGGGCAUCCAUAAAUACGGCCCGGGGCUGACGGCUCAUUCGUUUUCCCCCUCGCCUUCUUCUUCCUUCGCUCCGAUCCGCCGCCCACUCUCAUCUCGACGGUUCAGUUCGAGCUCGAGGCCGCGGCAGCUCGUCCGUGCCAACGUACGUGCCGGAUGCCGUAACUGGCUUCUGUUCCGUACUACGUUACUGCUCUGUUUCUUGCUUCUUUGCAUGAUCGUGAUGCAGAGCAGCAGAGGAGCCAUGAAUCGCGAAACGCCGCCGUGCGUGCCGCGCGUUUUAGCCUUUUCUGAGCCCGCAAAUCACGCCUGGUCGCCGCCGCCGCCGACUGGUCGGACGGGCAGAGAGAAGCACCGCCGGAGAAGAAGAAGAAGAAGAAGAAGAAGAAGAAGCUGGAUCUGGGAGAAGGGAUCAGGAGCACCGCAAAAUGAAAUUCCACCGCUAAUUAUAACCUAACUAAAAAGAAUCUGUUUAACUUCUGGAUUCAGGGUUUGCUUUGCUCAAGCAAGAUUUACAUCUUUCGACGCAUCAGUUCCUUCCCCUCUUUGCAGUUGAUUCGUUUGCUCUGUGAGUAAUGCAUGCGACGGAGAUGAACGUCACGACCAAUUACUGCUUACUACUGCUGCUAGUGCAGGCAUGCGUCUGUGUCACUGAUGAUUCACGGCUUGGAUGGAACGGGCUUCAAAACUUGCCUGCUUUGGUCUAUGCAAAUGCAGCUCCGUUUAAUCACAAGUUUACAGCGCGUCUGUUUUGUUUGCGUCGAUCGAAACAGUAACAAUCUUAACAAAAAUUCGCAGUGCAGGCCUGAACAUCACACUCCCAAAAUCAUUCAGAGUCAUCCAUCCAGACUGGUACAUUUCGAGAUGAGAAGCACAGUCCAUCCUCUUCUUGUUGCGGUGGCGGUGGCGGUGAUGAUCCUGUCGCCGUCGCUGUGCCCCGCAGCCACUGCAUGGGGCAUCUUCUCCUCCUCCCCUAAACCCACGGGCCAGACCGUCGCCGCGCCAACGCUGCCGGACGACGGCGGCGACGGCGGCGGCAGGAUGGUGGUCGACUUCUCGAUGGAAGGCGGCGGCGGCGGACCGAGGGGCGUGGAGCUGCUGGACGGCGCGCGGCGCAGGAUCGCCGGCCCGGCCUCCUGCUGGGGCGAGGCGUACCGCGGCCUCUUCGCCAGCUGCGCCCACAUCAUGGCCGACAAGGAGCGCCAGUCGAGGCUCGCGUGGCGCCUCAGCGCCUGCUACCAGCAGGACUCCGGCCGCCCGCCGCUGCCGCCCUGCGACGACCGCUCGCGCAUGGUGCACUGCCGCAAGCGCCUCUCCGAGCACGAGGAGAAGGUCUUCCUCGAGUUCUUCCUCGAGACCAACACCCUCUGCCACCAGCUCCAGUACGCAAUCAUAUCCAAUCCGCCAUGAUCGUCUUCUUCCUCUUCUUCUUGAUUGAUUUGUGAAUCGUGCGCAGGGCGGAAGCGUUCAAGCAGAGCACGGAGCGGCUGGUGAACGACCUGACCCGGGCGGCAGCGGCGGCGAGCGAGAAGCUGUCGGCGAUCGAGGAGAGGUCGGACCAGAUCAUGCAGGAGUCGAGCAAGCUCCAGGGCUCCAUGUCGUCGAUCGUGUCGCAGACCGAGAACCUGGCCGCCGCGUCCGACAACCUCAAAUCCCGGAUCGGCGACGUGCUGGCGCAGUCGGCGGCCAUAGCCGAGCAGUCGAGGCAGAUCGCGGCGGCGCAGGCGGGGCUGAGGGAAGGGCAGGAGGAGAUGCGGGGCCGGAUCGACGCCGGCAUGGCGCGGGUGGAGGAGGAGUACGCGCGGCUGGGCGAGGAGAUGGUGAGGCUGAAGGAGGAGGCGGCGGGGAUCGAGCGGGAGGUCAGGGCCGUCGGCGACGCCAUGGCGGCGCGGAUGGAGGGCCUGCAGCGCACCGCGGAGGAGAUCGGGACCGCCGCCGGGCAGUCGCUGGAGAACCAGCGGGAGCUGCUGGAGGGGCAGGCGAACGCGACGCGGGCGCUCGGGGAGCUCCACGGCUUCCUGAGCCGGGCGCUGGAGGAGAGCAGGGAGGCGAUGCAGAGGCUGGCGCGGUUCGGGCGGCAGCAGCAGGAGGAGCUGCUGUCCCGGCAGGAGCAGCUCCGGCGCGCCCACGACCUCCUCAUGCGCAACUCGGAGUCGAUCCUCCAGGCCCAGGUCUUCUUCUCCCUCCUCUGGUCUGGUACUCUGGUUUGCAAGACGUGCUGAACCGCCAUUGAUCCGGAGCUCGAUCGGUCGAUGCGCAUGCAUGCAGGAGGAGUUCAGCGCGAAGCAGGCCAGCAUCUUCGCGGCGCUGGACAAGCUCUACGUGCUCCACAACGCCAUCCUCGUGGAGUCGCGCUUCAUCAAGGCCUUCGUCUUCUACAGCUGCGUCGUCUUCCUCCUCUACCUCCUCACCAGCGCCAAGCAGACCUUCGCCAUUAGAGGCCAGCUCUACUUCGGUAACACACAUCUUCUGCAGACUCCGAUCAUCGUUUCCUUCGCUCCAUCGGAUCAUUUCUUCAUGCGUUUCUUGGAUUUGACCAAACCAGGUCUGUGCAUCACGCUCGUGGUGGAGGUCGCGCUCAUCAGGCUGGGGGGCGCCGACGACGACCUCAGCAGGCCGUUCUGGGUCGUGUCCAAGGUGCUGCUGCUCCGGUCGGCGUUCCUCGCCGCCGCCGCCGCCCAGAUCCUGCACGCCAUCUUCGCCUUCAAGUACGGCAGCCCGUGGAAUCCCGAUCUUGAACCGCGGCGUCACAGUACCAGUACGUUGAUCUCAUCUGAUUUUCCAUUUUUAUGCUGCAGGGAUUACGAGGUGCUGAACCAUGAGCUGCUCCAGACGCUGGUGGAGAAAGUCCGGGCGAUCGAAGACAACGCCGCCGGUGAGCUUUUCAUCCGCCGUCCCUUGCCCGCCAACUGGUGUUUGGAUUUUGAAACGUAAUGCUGGCGCCGAAUCUGAACUACUAGUAAGUACUUAUCAUCCUCCUCUGGUCCAGGAGACAAGAUGUGUCCAUGGGGGACAGGCAGUGAUGAUGAAAGUAGCCUCAGCGACUACUCGUGGGUCUUCGACGAGCUGCAGGACGACGUCGACAGCGAAGUCGACCCGGACUUCGUGCUCCGGGAAGAUGACAUCUGCAGGAAGGGCCACGGUUUCCGGGAAGAAAUCGGCGAAAACUCACUCUCAGCGCCGAUCGCCAUGAGGAGAUACAACCUUCGGGCACGCAUUACCCCACGGUGACAGGCACGGAAGUAGAACAUAUAUGUGCAGAAAUAUUGCCCGAAGUUGAAAUUGUUAAAUGUCAGCAUUUUGCUGAAGAACUGAAGGACAAUGCGACAACUUUUUUAUAAACUAAUGUCCAAGUUGUCUGAAUCUACAACUUGUGAAGUCAUAAAGGGAAAACAAAAAGCUUGGACAAAACAUCAGAUUAAAGAAAUAUUCAAUCUAACAUGAAACAUAACUCGAGAAAUAUUCAAUCUAACAAUGAAACAUAACUUGAGAAAUAUUCAAUCUAACAAUGAAACAUAACUUAAGAAGUGUCCAAUCUAACAUGAAAUAUAACUGCAGUAAGAGUUAACAGUAAGUUGCAGUGGCAUGCCAAGUAGACCUAAAAGUUCCAUUACUCACUCAAACGAAUCUAACAUGACAUAUAGCUGCUUGUAACAAAUGAAAAAGGACAACCUAAUGUACAGAAUUCGACUAACUGAGCUCCCUCUCUCCCAUCUAUACACUGCGGUUUGAAAAGAAUCCGUACAUGGAAUGAAUUCAUGGAUCUUGAAAAAAUUCAUCGCUGCUUGCCUUGGUCGUAUAAUCAGAUCUCCCCAGCUUCCAGGAACUGUUGCUGAGUAAAUUGUCCGUAUUGAAGAAUUUCUUAUGCACCAAAUAUCACAUAAUGUAUCACCGAGCACGGGCAGUUGAUGGUUGUUUCGAAGAGCGUCCAGACUUGUGUUUCCGUUUCUGGUUGCCCCCAGGAGGGUCCACCAGCGGUCCAGACCAAGUAGGCACGGUGGUCUUGUCGUACGGAAAUACGGUACUGAAUGAAGACGGGUCUGGGGGCUCAAAUGUAGGUUCCAUGUGAUUCGAACAACCCAACGGAUAGCCGAGUGCACCAUCUUGAUGUGGUGGAGGGAACUUUUCGCUCUUGCUCUUCGCAUUUGCAUGCGUUAUUAGCCUUCUUUUCUGUAAAAGGGUAAAGUUGAGUCCAGAUUAGCAUUUGCAACAGCGGACAUGGCAAGCAGAAAAAAAGGCUCAUGCAGAAAUGAGAAACUGUAGCUGGUAGGGAACCAAGAUAACUUGACAUACGUCGAUAUUUGCUUGAAGUUCAGCAUUUGCCUCUGGUGCUGGAACAGCCCUUGGCCGAUCCCGCGUCCUUGUCUUCCUAGCUCCAUCACCAUUAGGUCUACUACCAGCAGCUCUUAAACUGUUUUUCAUCCAAUGAAUAAGCCAGUAAGCAAUUUAUACAGUGCAAAAGCUCAAGCUUAUAUCAGCCAAUGAACAAGGUCAAGAGGUGGAGAAAUAGAAGAUAUUUACAAAUAUUUUCGGAAAGAAGCUUUAAAUAUACACCAGAAAGGUGAGACAAAUUGUUAUAUGACAGCAUGACUCAUGAUGAUGUCUAAGCAAUUAUUCCCAACAAGCUCCCAGGAAUACAGGAAUCUUGGCAGUUGGCACGAUAGUCGAGACUUACUUUUUAGUACUACAAAUAAGUAUACGGCUAGCACCCACUGAAGUUACCUUUUGAAUUAAAGAAAUGUUAUUUUUCUUCCUUAUAUCCUGCUGUGCUGUACAGUGUUGUCAAGUUAUGCUUUCCUGUUAUCAAGUUCAUCGCAGCAUUCUGCAGAAGUAGGCUCCUACGGCAAACUAGAUUUUAGAAUACUCCUGUAACUGUAUUCCUAACUCUACUCUAUAACUUCCAACAAUUUCUUCGGCACUCUUUUCUCUACUAUCUUAUAUAAAUUGGAGUUUCUCUACUACUAUCUUAUAAUUGGAGUUGGUGGUGGUAGAGACGAGUUCACCUCCCAACUCCAUCCCAAUCCACCUCAUCCAUCCAGGGCCUACCAGAUCCCUUCUGUCCAACAAGCCACCCUGUCACUCAUGUUUUGCAUAGUAAAGUACUCCCUCGGUUCCAAAAUAGAUGACUCAACUUUGUACUAAAGUUAGUACAAAAUUGAGUCAUCUAUUUUGGAACGGAGGGAGUAUUUUAUAAGUACAUGACAUUACAUUAUUCUUUUUCGCGGCAUGAACCAGCCAGUCAAUCCACCAGAGGAUUUUCUUCCUGCAGCGGCUCCUCCCCAAUCCGCAUGCUUCGACUGCUACUCCAAAUUUCCAUUGUCCUAACUUUCAAAUUUCAAAAUCCAACCACGGGUAUGCCGCUGCAAAUCUUACCAUGGUGCUCCCAUGGUCACUGUGGUUACGCAAGUGCAGCGUUGCCUGCUUGAUUGAAUUUCUUUUCUCCACAUUGUUGCAAGUGCAAGUGCAAUUAUUUUUGUGGUUCCAUAGCAACGCACGGGCGAAUGCUAGUUUGUUUCAACGGCCCAUCUAUGCCAUAUGACUCUGACUGUGCAUGCUUUCUCAAACCACUACGGCCCUGUUUGGUAGCAAAGUAUUUUCUAAGUUUUCUGUGAAUACUAUAGUUUUUUUGAUUAUCACAGUUUUAUUUACAGUGAGCUGUUUGAUUGCCCCUAAAAACUGUGGUUUUAAUACUACAAUAUCGGCAAAACUGCAGUUUUUUCUCUGCAUAAAAAAAAGAACUCAAGACCUCUUUUUUUAAAACUGAGCAACCGAAAAGAACAAUGCAAUGCGUCUAGCUUGGCUGUGCGGUUGUAGUUUGUGCAGCUUUAUGACAUGGUGAAGUUGCUGCCGGCUACGCCAUGCUGCCGGGUGCCCUCUUUGGUAACCUACAAGCCCUGAGCGUUGGUGUUCAGUGGAGGUCACUUUGUGCUAUCUUCCGUUCUUAUGCAUCCAGAUGGCAACGACUAGCUAGCUAGAAAAAUGGCUGCUCUAUUGCUGUGUACAUGGCCGUUCUUAGUCUGGUCAGGCAUGCAACUACGCUGGUAAACUGAAUUGUUCGCUAGCUAGCAUUUUUAAGUCGCUGCACCAAACAGGUUCUCAGUAUCGUGAAUACUCUGAAAUAUUAUGUUGUGUCAAAACCACGGUAUUUGAUACCUACAGGAUAAAUUACUGUAGUUUUUUGAUACUUUGGUUUUUACAAUACUUUACAUGUUUACAUUUCUAUGUUGUGAAGAGCUUAAUGACAUUUUAGAGCAUCCACAAAGAUAAGGCAAACGCAAAUGCAGAAAAUCAACACAAGUUUCUAAGGGAAGGAAGGAGUGUUAGGAUGACAAACCGUCUAGCUUCUUCAUCUCUUCGUUUUGCAUCCAUCUCUUUGCUUGGUGGGUAUUGGGGCAGACUUGAUGGAUCACAAGCCCGAGGUUCCGUUUUAAAGAACUGUGUUGGUAGUGUAAAUAUAUGUAAGUUAUCAAAUACGGUGUAACAACAAGGAGCAGCAAUGUAGAUACUUCAUAAAAAAAUAAUUAAAUAACUAGCCCUCUACCAAAGUGUUGGCAAAAAACUUAAAUUAUAUCAAAAUUAGAAUUCGGGUUCUGUCUUACAAAUACCAUGUUAAAUAUCAGAAUCACAUGAUAAACUCUAGACAAAUUUCGAGCAUAAUUUCAUGGACCUAUAUGAACCUAAAAGUUGAAACUCUGAACAGAGGAAAAACAAGAUACCGUGAUCUCAAUGAGAUUCCAAUGAAUUGGAUUCAACUCUAACAUCAAGAGGGCAUAUAACUAAUCAAAUAUCAAUAUUGCAAGUUUAAACGGAUACAGAAGACGCAAUAAUCUAAUUUAUUGACGCGGCGCAUAGAAGUUCCAUCUAUUGCAUGACUAAUUUAUUUGCCAUCCUUGUGUCAAUAUCCAACGAGUUGAGAAUUUCAUUCUUGUUACCAAUUUACAUCAAAUAGGAAAAGAAUGGUAAAUACUCAGAAAACUUACAUCACUAUUUAAUGCAUCAGUUGCUGUUAAACGAUCGGCAGGAUCAAUUGAUAGGAGUGUUUCAAUCAGCCGAAGUGCUGAUUGCGGGAAAUCUUUGAAUGUCUCUGCUAUUCGCCUUUUGUACGGCUGCUGGGGCUUAAAUAUGGUUGCAUGAGGCAGCUUUGAUUUUUUCCAAUAUUCUUCAGCGGGGGAUCCGCAUAGCUUAAAUAUUUUAUGCAACUGUUCUACCUGAAAAGAAGACAUGAUUAAAAAACAUUGUAAGUAUACAAUUAAAAUAAUGUGGGGAUAAAGUAUUACUAUAUCACUUAAAAGUGUAACACAAAUAGAAUUGAAGUAUUCAUGACAGAUAUGAACUGCAAACAUGCAACAAAGUAUUAGGCACUGAUUCGGUAUGCUUUAGCAACAACAACAACAACAACAACAACAAAGCCUUUAGUCCCAAACAAGUUGGGGUAGGCUAGAGGUGAAACUCAUAAGAUCUCGCAACCAACUCAUGGCUCUGGCACAUGAUAGCAAGCUUCCACGCACCCCUGUCCAUAGCUAGCUCUUUGGUGAUACCCCUGUCCACACAUAUUCGGUAUGCUUUAGCAUUUCCACUAAACUUUCUGAGACAAACUCACACGUAUGAUUUUCAAGUAUGCAGUCUAAAUAUUUGCAAAGAUACUGGUAGCCAAAAUUUCAACUCCAUUCUUGUCCAAAAUGACAGCUUUUAUAGGACCAAAGGGCAUAUAUGAUAAAAGAGUAAAGGUUAUAACAAAGUAAUAAGAGCUAGAAUAAUCUUUAACAUUUACUCCAGUGGUUUUUAUAGCAGUGAUAACAUAAAAAUUGUUCUUCACCAUGUUCUAUGUUGCCACAUUUCGAGGAAAACUGUUAUGCCCGAUGACCAAUAAAGAACAGGGGCGUACCCAGGUUCAACUACCCGGGUGCACAGGACACGGGUGCAAGAUUGUUUUCUUGGUAAUUUUUGUGUAUAGUAUAGUGUGUGACACCACAUUUUUGGAUGGGAAAUAUGUGUGGUUUUACACUGAGACACCGGGUCAAUUUCUCUCUGGUUCCGCCCCUGAUAAAGAACAACAUAAUAUGUGUGGUUUUACAGUGAGACACCGGGUCAAUUUCUCUCUGGGUCGGCCCCUGAUAAAGAACAACAUUUGGAAGUAGUGCUUAUUCUAUCUGAACAUGCUCUAAAUUGUAUAUCAUUUUCAUCAGCAAGGCCAUCUUGCACGAGACCUGCCUUAAAAUGUUAACGAGGUUUGCAUGGAAUGGUUGACAAGCUAUGAACAGUACACCAGCAAAAUCACACUUGACAGAAUCAACUUUAGUAACAUUUGUGGGAAAAAGGCAAGUGUUCCAUAGCUAACCUCGGUCCGUCCCGGCAUAAUAGGCUUCCCAGCCAGCAGCUCGGCAAGGAUACAUCCGGCACUCCACAAGUCCACGCCCACUCCAUAAUCUGUAGCACCCAACAGCAGCUCUGGUGGCCGGUACCAGAGUGUCACCACGCGACUGGUCAUCGGUUGCUUAUGGUUCGGGUCGAAGAACGACGCCAGACCAAAGUCCCCAAUCUUGAGCACACCGUCGUCAUCCAAGAGCAGAUUCGAGCCCUUGAUGUCACGGUGCAGCACUCCCUGGUUGUGGCAGUGCUCCAACCCUGACAGCAGCUGAUGCACAUAGCACUUGACCUGCGGGGCAUAAACACCUCGGUCAGACUCGACUAGCUACACCACAGCACACUCUAAGUAAUAUAAUUUGUCACUAUGUGGCUGCUCCAGCUAAGUGGGAUCUUGACCUGGGGCAGUGUGAACUUGAUGUCGGGGCUGGCGGCGAGGCCGGCGAGGUCGUGGACCAUGUAGUCGAAGACGAGGUAGAGGCUGCAGGACAUGCGGGAGGUGACGAGGCCGUAGAGCUUCAUGACGUUGGGGUGGUCGAGGCGGCGGAGGAUGAGGAUCUCCCGGGCCAUGAACCGCACGCUCUCGGGCUCCAGGUUGUCGAACCGCACCUUCUUGAGCGCCACGAUCUUGCCGCUCAGCGAGUCCCGCGCCUUGUACACAUUGCUGUACGUCCCCUGCCCGAUCUGAAACACCGCCGGGCUCGCUCGUCAGACCCAAAACAAAACAAAAAAAAACACGAAAUUCCUCCGGCGGGCGCUGCUGCCGCGGCACGGAUCACGGGGGAGCGGGGGGCGCACCUUGUCGAUCUUCUCGAAGGUGUCGGCGCGGCGCGGGGUCCAGCCGUUGAUGGCCUCGCCGGCGACGGCGGAGAGCCAGGCGGGCCAGCCAGCGGCGACCUGCUCGCCGCGCGCCUUGUUGGCGAAGCUGCCGCCGAGGCGCACCUCCGGCCCGUGCCGCGACGACCGGGACCGCCGCUCCCGCUUCACCGGCGCGGCGACGGCGACGGCGGCCUUCUCGCCAGCCUGCUGCCCCUCCCCCGCUGCCCCCGCGGCCGCAGCGGCGGCAUCGGGGGCGGCCCCCUCCUGCUUCGGCGGGGGGUUCCGGCGGCGGGCGGCGUCGGGGCUGGGGGUGGAGGCGGCGGAGGGGCGGCCGUGCACGCAGCCCAUGGGGACGGACGGACGGGUCCUCACCGGAGACGGCGCAUGCGGGCGGGCGGGCGGUGUCGCCGGGAGGCCGCGCGCGNNNNNNNNNNNNNNNNNNNNNNNNNNNNNNNNNNNNNNNNNNNNNNNNNNNNNNNNNNNNNNNNNNNNNNNNNNNNNNNNNNNNNNNNNNNNNNNNNNNNNNNNNNNNNNNNNNNNNNNNNNNNNNNNNNNNNNNNNNNNNNNNNNNNNNNNNNNNNNNNNNNNNNNNNNNNNNNNNNNNNNNNNNNNNNNNNNNNNNNNNNNNNNNNNNNNNNNNNNNNNNNNNNNNNNNNNNNNNNNNNNNNNNNNNNNNNNNNNNNNNNNNNNNNNNNNNNNNNNNNNNNNNNNNNNNNNNNNNNNNNNNNNNNNNNNNNNNNNNNNNNNNNNNNNNNNNNNNNNNNNNNNNNNNNNNNNNNNNNNNNNNNNNNNNNNNNNNNNNNNNNNNNNNNNNNNNNNNNNNNNNNNNNNNNNNCUGCCUGCGAGUGAGGGGAACGGGAACGGAACGGAGCUGGUGGCGGUGGGGAUGGAGGAGUGGAACCCAACCGGCUCUGCUUCUGGUUUUGGUUUUGACUCGGACGGGUCUGCUCCUGCACCUGCGCCUGUGUCUCUCUGGAUGGAUGUUUCCUGCGCCCGUGUCACGUUCCUGUCCUACAGAACCGCCACAACGCCGUAGCCCCCAUGCAGGAUGGUUAUAAGGCCAACUCCACCGCGCGACCCAAACAGAGUCCGAUUUGAACAGAUUUUGUCCUUUUGAGACGGCGAUGCGUUUGUCCAUAUUCACGUUUGUUCGUUGGGUCAUGGGUGUGCCCAGCGCGCAGCCACACCCCAAAUCAUGUCCGAAGUGGACGUGAUUAAAAAACAAAAAAGAACUUAAAUAAAAUGCCUAAAAAGUAAAUAAACGCACUUAAAAAAACUUAAAACAUAUAUAAAGUUCACGGCUACAAAACGGCCUAGUUUCAUGCCGCACUUAAACGGCCCAGUUCCAUAACGAACAUAAAAACAAAUUAAAAAAAAAGCCGCCCGCGCUAUUGUCGCGCCCGUCCAUGCCCUGGCCGUCGCCGUCGCCAUCUUCAGUGGCCACCGGUGUCGUCGUCGUCGCUGCAGAGGUCGAGUAGUCCGGCGGCGUUCAGAGAUGGGGCGGCGGUCCGCGAUGCACGGGGGCGGCGGGCUGGAAGGUGACCGGUGCCUGCACCACCUCCUCCCGAGGUGAGGCGUCGGGCUCCGGCGACCGCGACAGCUUGGGGACCAGCUCCACCCCUGGCCAACCAGGCCCGGGUGGAAGGCGGCCACCGGCGGCUCCUCCGUCACCUCCUCCUUCGACAGCAUCUGCAGCUCGGGGAUGGCGACGUCGCCGGCCGCAGACAUGGCCACCGUCUCCUCGAGGGCCGACCAUUUGCGCUCAUCGUGCGUGUGCAUGGAGUCCUCCAUGACACGCGCCAUGAGCCGGGCCUCCUCCUCCGCUGUCAUGCGAGGAGGUGGAGGUGGUGACGGAGAUGGGGAAGGCGACGGCGUGGGCGUCAGGCCGCGCACCCGCGUCCGCCCGUGCACCUCCCGACGUGGCCGCCGUGGCCCCGACACCGUGCCGGCGAAGUAGGACGCGCGCCGCACGUCGUGCUCGUCCUGGAGCCAAGUGUCCCACGGAACGGAGUCGGGGCGUACCUCUCGUCGUCGAAUAGGUCGUCGGUGAGGAGGCGGCGACGGCGCUUGAUCUCAUCGCGCCGGGCACGGCCGCUCGCUGGCACCGGCAGGAUGGGACCCGAUCCGCGGAGAGGUGCCAGUUGUUAGGGAGGUGCACGUAGCUCCAUGAGACCGGCGUCCUCGUCUCCCAGUACAGAAAGGACGGCGAUCCUUCGUUGUGCGGAUGACAGGUGGGGCCAUCCGCCCGUGCGCAUUUAUGUUGGCGGGUGGGAGGUAGGUAGCCGCCUGUCACGCGGACCCGACGCGGACGUUUGAAGCGUCUGUUCGCUGUCUGCCGCGACCCAAACCCAGCGCAAGUUUACGCUUGAAAUGGGUCGGACUGGACACAAAACGGACCAGAUGGGUCCGGGCCGUCGCGCGCUGGCCCGUCUCGUUUGUCCGUUUUACCUCAAACGGACGGGACCGGACAAAAUGGGGUCGCGAGGUGGAGUUGAUCUAAGGAAGAGAAAAAUGCUCCCUCAAAGAAAAGAAAGACCAGAUGGAGUUGGUCUAAGGAAGAGAAAAAUGCUCCCUCAAAGAAAAGAAAGAGGAAAAUGCAUCGUAACAAAAAUAAGUUGACAAAUACUUCCUUUAUUUCAUAAUGUAAGACAUUUUUUGACAAUUGGACGAAGGGAGUAAAAUGUAGCAGUAUUUGACUAUUCGUUUGCGUUUCUUUUCCUCUUCUCGCGAUUUCGUUUGUUUUUUACCGCCUUGGAUCCGGAUGGCAUUUUUCGUGAUGUUGACGUGUCCUUGAGAAGGGCAUGUCGACCGGUAAUCGGUGUGCAGACGGUUAUAUUUUGUUUGCAGAGGGGGUAUAAAUGUUAUGGAAGUAUGUUCAUGAUACGUCUUGUUUUGUAGUAGUAGUUUCUUUUCUUUAUAGCAUGUCGAACUUAGAAUGCUCAGUACAAUUUCAUAAAGGGCUUACAAUUUCUUUAUAGCAUGACGUAUCCUCGAGAAGGGCAUGGUGAUAUUUCAUGGUGUACGCGCGGUGUAUGUACAUCUGCGGUUGUAGACGUCAACGUACAAGAUAAAUGCCCACAUACCCUUGACUGCGAGAGGGUUCUCGGUGAAAGCGAUGGCAAAUUCAGACUUAGUAGUCGCUAUAGGUUGUGUGCAUGGAUCCGUCAUGUUUUUCAUGAAUAAACUAUGUGACGGUGAUACGGUAUAGAUGAUGACUCAUUUGCAAAUUUAUGUUUUGGGGGAAGAAAUCUUUUGGUCGAAAGGUCAAGAAUUUUUGUUCUCAUGUAAAAUUCCCUCUGGAUCCAUUUAAUGAAAUCAUAACCAUGUUAAAUUCUUGAAAUGAUCCCCACCCAUGGUGAGCCAUAUACAUUUUUCUAUCAUGGGAUGAUUGCUUCCUCCUCUUUGGAUUUUUGCUUCUCCUUUUAAGGUAUGUGUGGCAGCGCAAUCAGGCGGUGUCGCCCGGAACAGAGGAAGGGGGGCGAUUCCAAGGCGGCGGGAGGGGGUGAGGCGAGGGAAGGGGAGGGGGAGGUGAUAGUGUUAGAAGUAGUAAAGUUGUGCUUGGCAACCUGCGAGUGAGGGAAAGGGGGACAGAGCAAAGAUGGUGGGGUGGAGGAGUGGAACCCAACUAGUUUUGACUCCGACGUGACAAGUCUGCUCCUGCAUCUAAAUCUUUCGUGGAUGUUUUUUGUGCAUGUGACACAUUCCUGUCCUACAAAACCACCACAACUCAUGUAGGAUAGUCAAGGAAGAAGAAAAUUAUAUUAAUAAGAUAGUUAAAUAUAUCAAUAUUGAUCAUUAUUUUGUGUUUUCUCUUGACGGCUAUUUCAGGUUGUACUGCAUCGGAUCCAAAGUAUAAGUUCUUCGUGAAAAUGACAUACUCUUCGGAAAGGUAUGUCCGCGAGUAAUCCCUGAGUGAACGUAUUGUCUUGAAUGAAAAUAAUUCCACAUGAUAAAAGGAUACUCGUGAUAAACGCACUAGUAUGAAUUUGAUAGUUUGGGCGCAAUUAAUUUGAUUACGGAUGGUCAAACUUGGGAAACGUCUGCAUAAUAUACAGUUGUGAAGGACUUUUUUGAGCGAAAGUCGUCAAAGAAAGCUCUGACGGUGAGAAAUUACGGACUUAAUUUUCAGAUCAGACGUAGUAUAAUAUAUAAAAAAUAGACAAAAUGGUAUUCGAUGUGUAUGUGCAUAGUACUAGGCGUCAACGUACACAAUAAAUGCACACAUACGCUUGACUGAGAGAGGGUUCUCAUCGAAACCGAUGACACGUUGAGACUUGGUCGCCAUAGGGUGCGCAUGGACCAGAGACGACGCCAAAAAUAUUUUAUGGAUGACUCCGUGACCAGUAGAGAUAACGACACAUUUGUAAAUUUAUUAUGUUUUCGGUGAAGACAAUUUUGCAUCGAAUGGUCAAGGAAUUUUCUCAUGUAAAUUUUCCUCCUAAUCCACUUAAUAAAACCACAUGCAUGCGUAAAUUCCUGAACCCAACCGUCCUUGUUAGACCAUAGUAUAGUAAUAUAGUAUAAUUUUCUAUCGUGCAUGAUUGCUGGCUCCUUUUUGGAUUUUUGCUUCCCCUUUUGAGGAUCUUGUGAUAUUCUUUUCCCUUUUUUCUAGGGAGACUUGUCCAGCCAACAAUAAGCCAAAGGCUGGAUAAUAAUGAAAUGGAAAAAAUAGCAUAAAGGCCUAUUGCUUGCAAUUUAUAUUAGGUUGCGGAGAUCACGCUAGGGAGGAGGCAAUAAGGCAUUAGGAUUAGGGUGAUGCAUUCCGGGCUUUUAGGUGUAGCCGAAAGCCAAAAAUGCUUUAAGCCUUUAACAGCCUUACAUACAAUAAUAAACAAGUAAAAACAUCCACUUGUGCUUAGCAGGAGCUUGACUGCACACGUCGUUCUCGCCCGGCAUUUCAUACGCUUUUCUGCACAUUGUCAACAUGAACAACCGGAAAUGGACAAGAACCACGUACUUUCAAAAAAAAAGACAAGAACCACGUAUGUACUAUCCUAAUCCAACUUGGCACGUAAUGGAGUACUUGACAGAUACAUAUACUGUUUUCUUUCCAAUAGAAAAUUGGAAAUUGGAAAGUAGCAGUAGAUGCCGAAUUGACCUGACAGCAAAAUCCUUGGCAGUGGCUUGGAUUGUGCUCCUUCCAUGCCACAAUGUAGCGCGCCUAAAUUUUUUGAGAUUAAUUUUGACAAUAAAUUAGACUAAUAGUACAUAAAAUAUUUUACUGAAAAAUUAUACCUUUGAAAACUUCUUUCGAAUAUGAAUUCAAAGAUAUCUGUCAUGCUCUCGCCGCAGUCAUCCAUGUUGUUUAAAUUUUGGUCAAAGUUAAAUCUCAAAAUACAUGAGCACACUAUAUUAUGAAAUGGAGGAAGUGGUAAUAGUAGCCAUUUGUAGGACGGGCUUAGAGUGAACGACGACGGUGACCCGCAGCAGAAUGCUCUAUCUGUCUUUCUCUCAAAUUACACUACUACUACCUCCGUCUUGGCUUAUUGAUUCUCUUCGUAUUUUGUGUCAAAAUUUAAUCAUAGAUUUAACUAACAAAAUAUUCGUGUAUAUCAUAAAAAUUAUACUACUUAUUGUGACAUGCAUGGAAAUUUUGUUAAUUAAAUUCGUAGUCAAAAUUUGGCAUAAAAUACCAAGGUGACCAAGUAGUACUGUUCAUCUCUGAAACUGUCCGUGUGUGGAUCCCAAAGAAGUGAAGUCGUCCAGAAAUGAAGGAAGGAAGAAUUGCCUCGGAAGGGAGGAAGAUGUAUGCACUGGACACCACUGGUAGUACUACUAGCUUCCUUGAGUUGAGUUGGGGCUUGGAGUUGGAGUACGGAGCCAACCCUUAGAGCAUCUAUAGCAGAUUUCUUACAAACGCGGAAACUGUAAAAUCCGGCGACUACACGAGUUUGGCCAUUUUUUGGGCCAAACCAGAGCCCGUAUAGUCGUUGAACCCGUAAAAGAUUUUACGGUGGCUCGCAAGCUGCCCCCCGUACGUGGUAUAUCUACGGGUUUGGGGCGACUAUACGGGGCGAAACCCUUCCGCCGCUGCGACUUCCUAAUCCCCUCUCCCAUUUUUCGCCACCGGUAAGCUAAAUUCGUCGCCGCUCCCACCAUGUGGCGCGGGAUGUGGAGCUCGGGCCGCCGCUCCGGUGGUAGCGACGACCCCGAGCGACAACGGUGUGUUAGAGCAGACGACGCAAGGAAGUGAGCCGCGAAGAAGUACACGAACCGCUGCCUAGAGUCGCCGCUGUCGCUCCUCCGCCGCGAGACGGAGGAGUACGACCGCAGGCAGACACGUCAGCCCUACGGCGCGGGCAGCUCCUCUGCCGGGAGGUUGAGCUCCCGUACGCCACUCCUCAUGCCGAUGAAAAGGGAGUCGGAGGAGCUCCCGCCGCUCCGGGUGGUGAAGAGGGAGCCGGAGGAGCCGGUGCGGCCCGGCAGUGGCGUCAUCGGCCCGGGGGAUUUCCUCCCCCCAAAUGAGGCGGACAUCUUCGAGCGGGCCAUCGUCGCGCGCAGUACGCGGGAGGAGGAGGAGAUGGAGCACCGCCGUCGAACUCUAGGCGAGCUCGACAACGUCCUCCUUGAGCAGGGGCUCACCAAGGCGCAGGACUUCGACGCCAACCUCGAGGGAUGGCGCCAUGAAGCCAAGGCGCAAUACGACAUCUACGUCGACCUCGUCUCCUCCUCCGAUGACAACUGAACUCCUCCGCCGUUGCAGCGUCGCCACUGCAGUGUCGCCGCCACCGAAUGGCUUUGGUGAGCCAAAUUUUGGCAGUAGGGUCUACGGUGGCUGCCGCUCCUUCGAUCUACUUUGUAUAAAAAUGCUAUGUAUGAUAUACGUAUGAUGACCAGAUACUAUGAACGCUGCUAGUUCUACUGAAGUAGUUCGAUUUCUACCACAAAGUUCAGAUUUCAAAAAUUUACAGGUUCAUUUGAUGUUUCUGUUCUAUCAACACUGUUUUCGGUCCGCAUCCAACGCAUUCUGCGAUUUACAGGUCCGCGUUUUAAGAGAUGCUCUUAACGACGCGGGACAGCGAUGCCCCUUCUGCCGGAAAUCGGCUUGAUCCUCUUCUCUUCUGCUCAGCUGUACACUGUUCGUUUGUACUACUACUAGUAAGAGCAUUACUAGUAGUACCUCUAAACUUUGAAACCUUAAAAAUAACCGCUUUUUUCUGGGUUGCAACAAAAAAAAUGUAAAGACUAGAAUUCCUAAACCCUUAAACCCUAAAAAAAAAAGUAAGGUCCAACCCUCAAACCCAAUUCCAAUCUGUAGAAGUGAGGGUUGGAGAGGGGCACUCGACCCCAACCUGCACUCCCUUCCCCCGUCGCGCGGGAGGGAAAUUUCCCGUCCCCAACCUCCCGCCUUCUCCCUCCCAAGCCGUCGGCCGUCGCCCGCCGCCAAUCCGGCCGGCCCCCGCCUCCCCUCGACGCACGCUGGCCAUCGCCGGCUGCGCCACACUUCCCGUCGCCNNNNNNNNNNNNNNNNNNNNNNNNNNNNNNNNNNNNNNNNNNNNNNNNNNNNNNNNNNNNNNNNNNNNNNNNNNNNNNNNNNNNNNNNNNNNNNNNNNNNNNNNNNNNNNNNNNNNNNNNNNNNNNNNNNNNNNNNNNNNNNNNNNNNNNNNNNNNNNNNNNNNNNNNNNNNNNNNNNNNNNNNNNNNNNNNNNNNNNNNNNNNNNNNNNNNNNNNNNNNNNNNNNNNNNNNNNNNNNNNNNNNNNNNNNNNNNNNNNNNNNNNNNNNNNNNNNNNNNNNNNNNNNNNNNNNNNNNNNNNNNNNNNNNNNNNNNNNNNNNNNNNNNNNNNNNNNNNNNNNNNNNNNNNNNNNNNNNNNNNNNNNNNNNNNNNNNNNNNNNNNNNNNNNNNNNNNNNNNNNNNNNNNNNNNNNNNNNNNNNNNNNNNNNNNNNNNNNNNNNNNNNNNNNNNNNNNNNNNNNNNNNNNNNNNNNNNNNNNNNNNNNNNNNNNNNNNNNNNNNNNNNNNNNNNNNNNNNNNNNNNNNNNNNNNNNNNNNNNNNNNNNNNNNNNNNNNNNNNGGCAGGCUGGCCUCAGGCCUCCUCGAGCUCUCCUAGCCGCCGCGCCAGAGGCCAGGCGGGCCAGAGGCAGCCGCGCCGCCGCCCCGAGCUCCUCGCAAGUAUGCCUCCUUUUCUUUCUUCUUGUUUUAUUUUUUCCUUUCUGAUUCAUUGUUGGCACUCACAAUUUAUUGUUUGUUGUAUUGUGUAGAUGGAGGUGAACAACGACGCCAUGGACUCGUUGUCCGAUUCAUCGGGUUGGUCGUCAUCCGACGAUUCGGACAUCGGGGAGUUGUUGCAAGACGACGACGUCGAGAUGAUGAGCCUCCUCAUCGACGUGCAAUCGUUUGAAAACCGCGUGAAGCUGAUGGAUCAGAGGAGAGGGUCGAAGAUGGGGCGAGUCACCAUCUACCGGAACCGCGCUCUCGGACACGAGCAUUUGAUGGAAGACUACUUCACGGAGGUACCUACAUACCCUCCUCGUCUCUUCCGCAGGAGGUACCGAAUGCGGCAUAGUUUGUUUGUGAAGAUUGUCACGGAUUGUGAGGCCGCCUCCUAUUACUUUAAACGUCGUAGAUCCGCCGCCGGUAUCAUGGGGUUUAGUGCAUAUCAAAAGAUAUCGGCGGCAAUGCGGGUACUCGCUUAUGGCAUACCCGCGGAUAUACCGACGAGUAUCUUCGCAUUGGGCAAGAUACAACCACGGAGUCAGUCCGUAGGUUUGCCAAGUUGGUCAUCCGGUUGUACUGUGAGCAGUAUCUUCGGGCACCAAACGAGGAAGAUACAAAUAGAUUAAUGGAAAUGAAUGAAAAAGGGGGAUGGCCGGGGAUGCUAGGUAGUCUUGAUUGCAUGCAUUGGAGGUGGAAAAAUUGCCCAAAGGCAUGACACGGAAUGUAUUGCGCUAAAAGCCGUGAUGCUACCAUUGUGCUUGAGGCCGUAGCAUCUCAGGACACAUGGAUUUGGCAUGCAUUCUUUGGGUUGCCGGGAACACUCAAUGAUAUCAAUAUCCUCAAUAGAUCUCCUUUGUUCAAAAGAUUAAUUUCUGGGGAUGCUCCACAAUGCAACUACAAAAUCAUGGACAAUGAGUACUCAAUGGGAUACUAUCUCACCGAUGGCAUCUAUCCCGAAUGGGCAACUCUUGUGAAGUCCAUCAAGGAGAAAAAUGGGGUGCCCUUAACAAGAAAAGAGGCUCAUUUCACCAAGGCACAAGAGGCAGCCCGCAAGGAUAUUGAGAGAGCUUUCGGUAUUUUGCAAGCAAGGUUUGCCAUAGUUCAUGGUCCAGCUCGGUUUUGAGACAAAAAAACCUUGGUGAACAUCAUGAAAUGUUGUGUGAUUCUACACAACAUGAUCCUAGAGGAUAAGAGAGGGUUAAACCUCCCUUGUUUCUAUGACAAUGUUGGUACCCGUGUGCAACCGGAAAGAAACCCUUCUCGCAUACACGCUUUUCUUCAAGCACAUCGUGAGAUUGAGAAUGCAACCACUCAUGGUCGGCUACGGAAUGAUCUAGUAGAGCACCACUGGCAGUUGGAUGGGCGGCGCAUUGGCCCAUGAUGUAUCUUUGUUUUACUUUUCUAUGUCCUAUUUGAUUCGAACAAUUAGUGUAAUUUGCUCAAACAUUGUUGUAAUAAUUUGAAUGAUUAUUGUUUUAUUCGGUGUUGUAAUAAUAACUAGAAUGAUUAUUGUUUUAUGUCAAAUGUGAUGGAAUUUGUGAUAUGUCAUAUGAUGAAAUGUGUGAUAUAUGAAAUGACAGUUUUAAAGGUUGGGAUUAAGGCAAAGACUAGAACCCUCAAAUCCAACCCUUAAAGCAGUUUAAGGGUUGGGUUUGAGGGUUCUAGUCUUUGCCCCUGUUUUUCAACCCUUAAAAGUGUCAAAAACUGACACUUCUCAACCCUUAAAAAACUGCUAUAAGGGUUUAAGGGUUCUACUAGUAAUGCUUUAACUGGUACUACUGCCAACAAGAAUCAGCAAUGCCUGAAUCCAAGAAGAGUCUGUCUAUUACUAGUAGUGUUCAUUUUCAGAACAAAAGGAAAAAAAAGAUAGAAGCCUCCGUCUGAAAAGUGAAAACUACUUGCCCCUGAGCCAUGUCGAGAAAAGAAGCAUGCUCCAUAAACCAUGGAUUGCCAUGCAAUUUUUUUAAUUUUCUUUAAAUGGAUGAUUGUUCAGUACUAUCAUGAGCCGUGUUAUUUUUUCUUUUCCUUUUUGGCUGACCCGUAUGAAUGAGUGAAUGAAUGAAUAAUGGUCCUUUCUCCCUCUCAUUUUCUCGGUUUCCACGCGGGAUUAAUGAAGGUGUGUGAAUGUGGCGAGGAGACAUGUUCAGCCGAGUGUGCAGCGGGCGGCGCCCUCGGCUGGUGCGCCGCUUCAAUGGCGGAGGCAGCGUGAGGUCGUCCGCCUUGAGCCGUCUUCAAUGCGGAGCAACGCGCUCUACAGUGGCAUGAAUACGGGCAGCUGGCGCCUGUCAGGAGCGUCAGAAGCGGGCUUGGGAACGGUCCGGACUCCCGCAAACCUUCUCACUUUUGUCUUUGGUUUGCGAGAGAAAUCGCAUCCGGACCGCUCCACGGACCGAUACAUGUCGGCGUUGGAUGACUCCCAUGAUUCGGACUGCUUGGUCCGAACGAUUGCAGGAGAUUUACGAGUCUGCCCUAAAAAGUACUCCCUCCGUUUCUAAAUAUUUGUCUUUCUAGACAUUUUAAAUGGCUACCAUUUAUGGAUGUAUGUAGACAAAUUUUAAAGUAUAGAUUCACUCAUUUUAUUCUGUAUGUAGUCACUUGUUAAAAAUAGUUAGAAAAACAAAUAUUUAAGAACGGAGAGAGUAGUAGUCUCGAGUAGCAAAAUUGACCUGACAGCAAAAUUCUUGCCGGUGGCUUGGAAUGUAGCACCCGUUUCCAUUUGUAGGACGGGCUCGGGGUGAACGGCGACGGCGACAGGCAGCAGCAUGCUCUCUCCAUCUCUCUCAAAAUAUUGUUCAUCCCUUUCUCUGAAACCUCUCUCAAAAUAUUGUUCAUCCCUUUCUCUGAAACUAUGUGAGCGUGCGGAUCCCAAAGAAGCCCAUCCAGAAAAAAAGAAAGGAAGAGGAAGAGUUGCCUUGGAAGAGAGGAAGAUGUCUGCACUGGACACCACUGGUAGAGGCUUGAAGUACGGAGCCAACCCUUGACGACGGGGGGACAGCGACGCCCCCUCCGCCGGAAAUCGGCUUGGAUCCUCUUCUCUUCUGCUCACCCGUGCAGUGUUUGUAGUACUACUAGUAAUAGUAACCGGCACUGUACUACCAGCAAGAAGCAGUUCCUGAAUCCAAGGAGUAGGAGCGCUUAUUCUUCAGAAGGAAAAGGAGAAAAUAGAAGCCUCUGCCUGAAAACACUUGCCCCUGUGCCGAGUUAAGAAAAGAAGUACUCCCUUCGUUCCACGAUAUAGUGCGCAUAGAUUUUCUGAGAAUUCAUCUUUAUAUACUUUGACCAAGUUUAUAGAGCAAAGCAUGUACUCGGUGAUCUAAAACGUCUUAUAUUAGCUGACAGAGAAAUAUCUUAUUAUAUACUACUACAUCAUAAGACGUUUUUUUUUCAUAUUAUAUAUAUUUCAUAUCAUAGUUAUAAAUAGUUUUAGUAUAAAAUAAAAUUGGUCAAAAUUACUAGUAGUAAAGUUUGACUUUUCAGAAAAUCUACAUGCACUACAUUAUGAAACAGAGGGAUCGUCAUGCAAAAAAAAAUAAAAAAAAAAGAAUACUGACACGUAUGAAUGAUGAUUCAGUAGCACCAUCAUGAGCCGUGUUAGGAUUAUUUUUUCCCCUGACAAGCAUGAAUAAGUGAGUGAAUGAAUGAACGAUGGUCCUCUCUCCCUCUCUCUCACUGGGGCAUAUCCUGUGGCACCUUGAAUGAUGAUGGCCACCUCACACUGGCAAGUGGCGAGGAGGAGGAGGGGGAUCCAAGGACUGAGUGUGAGAGGAACCGCACAGUGACUGCCACAACGGACCCACACAGACUCAUCACUCCCUCUCCCUCUCUUUAAGUUUGAUUCUGAUCUCCUCUGCCCAUAGUUGACCGACUGACUAUUCAUCAGGGGAGGAGAAGAAAAGGAUCGAGUCCCCGUCCCCGACUGCUGCAGCGCAGUGAGUGAACGAUUCUCCGGGGCACUCGUUCCUCUUGUCAUCUGGUGCGCGGACAGAUUCAGUCUUAGUUUCAGUUACGCUCCACUGACGCAGUAGCAUGUACUAGGACUAGGUGCUAGCUAUGGUUAGUUCUUAGUUGUACGCCUGCAUCAUGGAUUGGUUCACUGGUUGCUGCAAGAGGUUCAGGUAGAUUAUCUGCCUGAACUGAACCAUGCAGUGAUGCUGCUUUUGACUUUCUAGGAUCUAGUGCCUUUUCCUAUCACUGGUCUAGGUCAAUCUCUGGCUGAUUGGGGGUGUUGAUCUUAAAAUAUAAUGGCGGCAGGUUAGUGCUACAUUUGAGUUUGACUGACUGUUAGCAAGCCCCCCAAAGUGGUUUUCUUAUCUCUGGCUGAUUGAGAGUGUUGAUUUUAGAAUAUAAAGUUAGAGGUGAUGCACGCAGCAAAAAAGAAUUGGCUGGCGGCGGCAGCAGGUCACCGUUACAUCUGACUGACUAUGAAUCACCAGGCCCUGAAAGUAUUUUAAUCACCCAUGGUUGGUGAUGCAUGCAACAAAAAAGAAUGUCCAGUUGAGUCUAGUCUCCAACCCUGCACAGCAGGUGCUGAUCGAACCUGCUCUAGAUAGUGGAUACAAUGAACAAAAAUGGCAAUUAACGACAGAUAGAUAUACUAUUAGUUACUACUCCCUCCGUUCCAAAAUAUAUGACUCCACUUUGUACUACAGAAUGAACAUAACAGAUUGCUAUAGCAGAAUGACACAGCGCCGCCGGCAUCAACCGCUGGAGGCUCCUCGCCGUAAUUGGAUUUCUUCUUCUUUGACUUCUUUCUCCUGCUCGCCAUCCUGUUGAGCUGCCUCUGCAGUAGGUUCUUCCUCUUGGUUUUUCCUCUUCUUUGAAGCCACUUCUGACCUCUUUGGGUUCCUCCCUCUCCCUCUCUUUAAGUUUGAUUUUGAUCCAAGGAGUGAGUGUGAGAGGAACCGCACAGUGACUGACACAAUGGGCCCACACAGACUCAUCACUCCCGCUCCCUCUCUUUAAGUUUAAUUUUGAUCUUCUCUGUCUAUAGUUGACCGACUGACUAUUCAUCAGGGUCGAAGAAAGAAAAAAAAUCCAGUCCCAAAAGUGUGUGGACAGAUUCAGUUUCAGUUUCAGUUACACACUCUACUGACGCAGUGGCAUGUACCACUAGGUGCUACGGAAAGACCGUCUAACACGAAAUCAUAAAUAAGCUUGACCGAUGCAUUUGGAGCUAUGGUUAGUUGUGCGCUUGCAUCAUGGAUUGGUUCAUUGGUUGCUGCAGCUGCUUAGAUCAAGGCCUCCUUUGGUUUUGGUUUGUAGGAAAUUUUAUGAAUUCUAUAGGAUAGGAUUUACAAAGGAAAAAAAUUCUUUUGAAGCCCUUUGAUUUGUAGGAAUGGAUUUCUAUUCCUAUUUAAGAUACGAAUCAAUCCUUCACAUUUUGGAGAGAAAAAAAAACAUUAGCUUAGACUAAAUGAAAAAAAAUAUAUCCUAUGCUCAAAUGACAAUCUUUUUUCUCUAUAGGAAUUAAGAUGCAUGUCAUCUCAUUUCUUAUGAUUUUUCUAUUCCUAUAACAUUCCUAUCUUAUGAACCAAAAGAGGGGGAGCUCAGGUAGAUUAUCAACCUGAACCAUGCAGUGAUGCUCCUUUUGACUUUCCGGGGAUCCGGUGGUUUUUCUUAGUUAUCACUGGUCUAGGUCAAUCUCUGGCUGGCUGAUUAGAGACGUUGAUCUUAAAAUAUAGGGGCGGCAGGUUACAGAUACAUUUGACUGACUGUUAGCAAGCCCCAAAAGUAUUUUUCUUAUCACCGGUUUUGGUCAAUCUCUCGCUGAUCAGGAGUGUUGAUCUUAUCUUAAAAUAUAAAAUCAGAGGUGAUGCAUGCAACAAAAUAGAAUUGGCUGGCGGCAGCAGGUCACCGUUACAUCUGACUAUGAAUUACCAAGCCCUGCAAGUAUUUUAAUCACCUAUGGUUUGUGAUCCAAACAAUGCGACAUUAGAGGUGAUGCAUGCAUGCAGCAAAAAAUCCAGUUGAGGCUAUUUUCAACCCUGCACAGCAUGUGUUGAUCGAAUCUGCUGACUGGAUAAUAAUGAACAAAAAUGGCAAUUAACGACAUAUAGAUAUACUAGUAUUAGUUACUACUCGACAGAAUGAACAUAGCAGAUUGUUAUAGCAGAAUGAACCGCUGGUUAUGUUACGCCUGUAGUCAGUUUGUCACGUGGAUCUUGAUUUCUUCAAAUGAAAUCGGAGGGGGAAACCUCUCUUUUGCUAAAAAGAAAGAAUGAACAGCUGGAGGCUCCUCACCGUGAUUGGAUUUCUUCUUCUUUGACUUCUUUCUUUCUCGUGUCCGCAAUCCUGCCUCCUUGGUAGGUUCUUCCUCUUGGUGUUUCCUCUUCUUUGAAGCCACUUCUGACUUUUUUGGGUUUCUCCAGUGGAUUGUCAAACUCGUUGAAAAAGCCUUCAGCUUAACCACCAGUUAUACAAUCAAGCAAGUCAUUAUCAAUGAUACAGUCCACAGAUAACAUCCUUAAUAUGAACAAACAAAGAGAACCCUACAGGCUACAGCCAAUGCGCAAGAUCUCAGCAAACAGCGAGCCACAUGCCAAAUUAUGGAAUAAGGACCUACAAACUAAGCCUCCCACAUUAAGCUGCCCAGUUAGUAAUCAUCCGACAGUGGAUCCAUCCAGCCAAUGAAAUGUGCAGUAUGUUAGAAUACGUAAUGGGCCUAAUGGCCUGGGCUGGCGGUAUAGCCCAUUAGUCUUAGGGUUAAUUAGAGAUAAGGGUCGCUUAUUUAGGGGUCAAGUAAGCCUUGCUUGGGAGUCAAGUAAACCUCUCUAUAUAAAGAGAGGAGAUGUAUCAAUCUGAUGAAGCAAGAAUUAAGAAGGAAAUCCCUUCCAUCUUGCCCGGCACUGGGCAAAAGGCCCCCGGCCGGUCCUCUCGUGCCCUCCUUCUAGCAGCGCCAUAACAAUUUGGUAUCAGCUAGCUUCGGUUUGAUCAUGUCUUCACCGCCGCCCAACCCGUCUCUUCCGCUGCCGGGAUCCUCCGUCGCGCCCGCCCCCGCCGUCCUCACCCCGGAGGAGGUGUCCGGGGCGCUGCGGGACCUAACCCAGGCAGUCCAGGAGAUCCACCUGUUCUUGGUCGGGUCCUACGGGCCGCACCCGGCCGCGCCGCCCAUCGCCGCCACCGCGCCGCCAUGGCUGCCGUGGCAGCCGCUGCACCAGGCGGCCUCCGCCGCGCUCGCCGGGCCGNNNNNNNNNNNNNNNNNNNNNNNNNNNNNNNNNNNNNNNNNNNNNNNNNNNNNNNNNNNNNNNNNNNNNNNNNNNNNNNNNNNNNNNNNNNNNNNNNNNNNNNNNNNNNNNNNNNNNNNNNNNNNNNNNNNNNNNNNNNNNNNNNNNNNNNNNNNNNNNNNNNNNNNNNNNNNNNNNNNNNNNNNNNNNNNNNNNNNNNNNNNNNNNNNNNNNNNNNNNNNNNNNNNNNNNNNNNNNNNNNNNNNNNNNNNNNNNNNNNNNNNNNNNNNNNNNNNNNNNNNNNNNNNNNNNNNNNNNNNNNNNNNNNNNNNNNNNNNNNNNNNNNNNNNNNNNNNNNNNNNNNNNNNNNNNNNNNNNNNNNNNNNNNNNNNNNNNNNNNNNNNNNNNNNUUCCCCGCCGCGCUUGCCGGGCCGCUGCAGCUGCCAUCCACCGCCACCACCGCCCCACCCUGGCUACAGUGGCAGCCGCCGCUCCUGGCGGCCUCCGCCGCGCCCGGCACUCCGCUGCAGCAGCCACCGCCGGUCAGCUCCAGCCCCGCAUCGCCCGCGCCGGCGGGAGUCCCGAUCCACCAGAUCAAGUUCCCGUCGUCGCCAUUACCGCUUCCCCAUGGCGUCCCCAUCCAGCAGAUCAAUUUCCCGCCGUUGCCGUCACCGCUUCCAGCUUGGAUCACUACCCGCCACGUGUCGGCGGCGGUGAGGCUGCAGGCUGCUGCGCGCUGCCUCCUAGCGCGUCGGCGUGUGCGGAAGAUGCGUGGUCUGCAGCUGCCGCUCCUCCCAGCUGCGCUUCGCUGCGCAAAGAACCUCGAUCUCGUCCGAUGCUUCGGGGAUCUUGGGCAUGCUUUUUUCCCCGCGGGCAGCGACCUCAAAGUCUGCGACAUCGGCGGUUGGGGGGGGGGGGGCGCAGCCCUCGUCAUUCUCCAUCGCAAGCCCUCCACUCUUCUCUGUGCGGUGCAGACCAACAGCCGUCCGGCGGGGAGAAGGCAGGGUGUCACCGACAGAAGCGCACCGCGUAGCACCACUGCAUUCCGUCGUCCGCCGCGAGGGCGCCUCAGCUGGUCGCUCUUGCGACCAGUUCCAGGUGGCAAUACACAUGCACUCCUUUUGUCCAGAUGGUGUCCAUGGGAUCCAGGUGGCUGUACACGUGCACGUCCGACGUGCGGAUGGUGUCCACUUUUUGUUAAGGGGUCCAAAAUAAAUCGUCCCUGUCCAUUUCAGGUUGAGAGUAAUAAAACAAGCCGAGAUGUAAAAGACUUAUUUUUAGGUGUUAGGCUUGUGUUGCGUCGAGUCAUGGUUAUAAGUUGGUUAGGCUGCAGCUCGAGAACAAGCUGCAUGUCUAGGUGGGGUGUAGUGUUAGAGUACGUAAUGGGCCUAAUGGCCUGGGCUGGCGGUAUAGCCCGUUAGUCUUAGGGUUAAUUAGAGAUAAGGGUCGCUUGCUUAGGGGUCAAGUAAGCCUUGCUUGGGAGUCAAGUAAACCUCUCUAUAUAAAGAGAGGAGAUGUAUCAAUCUAAUGAAGCAAGAAUUAAGAAGGAAAUUCCUUCCAUCUUGCCCGGCACUGGGCAAAAGGCCCCCGGUCGGCCCUCUCGUGCCCUCCUUCUAGCAGCGCCAUAACACAGUACUAAAUAAAUUUGCGCAGCAAUUGGUGUGGCAAAAUGUUAACCUGCAAUCUGAAUUCCCUCAGUGAACUUUCAGUGCUAACAUUUGAAAGCAAAGGAAAUAGCAGUGACCAUUGGACCAAGACACACGGCAGUCCGUGAUUAGUUAUAAAAAUAGCAACUGUACAAGUAACUAAUAAGAUUCACGAGAAAAUCAAGACAGGGGCUCGAAUCACUCAACCUUUCUUGCUUUGUCUGACGAGCCAAAAUCCUUCCACAAAUCCUACAAGCCAAAACCACAUGUAGAUAGCUGUUGAUUACAAGGAGUUGAGCCCAGUGGAUAAAGCCAACCAUACUUGAUUCAGUUUAACCAAUAAACACCGGAAAUAUAGGACACCAGUUAACACACUGCAGCGCGAAGGAGAUUAUUUUUACCUAAGACAACAAAUACAGAGUUCAGCUUCAGAGGAUAAAACAGAGCAUUCACCACAAGUGUGCUUUACUGUAACAAGUAAUGCAGAGAGCCCAUGUCGACUUAGCCAUCCUUACUGCUCCAUUGAACCUUUUAUUUUACCGCGUAGUAGAUCACCAGCGCUACGUGUCAUCUGCACUUUCAGUCUCAUAUGUCUGCAAACUGGCCACUUACUGCCUUGAAUCUCUAGUUCUCCACAGUGAUUUUACUUUUCUUUUUGUUGGUGUUCUUUUCCUCAUCAGAUUCGCCAUCGAAAUCAAUACGUAUGCGUGUAGUUAACCUUGAGUGAACAGGAUUGCCCAUGGCUGGCAUGGGAUUAACAGGAGCUGCAACGCCACCACUGGUACUUUGAAAACCCAAAUGCUCUGCAGUUCCACUAUCCUUCCUUCGCUCGGAUGGCUGCGUCGUGGGCGUUUCACUGUCUGGGGUCCCUCCCAUGCUCUUAAUUUUUUGCUAAUCGUGUUGCUCUGGUCAGAUUCAUAAUCAGUUGCAGACCGUGAUGAUGGAGUAGCAGGAGCAGCAAUAAUAUAGGUCGGUAUGCAAGUGUUGGGAAUGCCAGAGAUCUCAUGCGUACUUUCAGAUUCAUUGUAUUGCUCAGAUAGGUUCCGAGGCAAUGGAGCAGCACUGUCGGUGAUAGUUUCAGGAUGGCAACAUCAAUCGGAGAAACCUCAUUUGAUAGGUUAUACUUCUUUGCACGCUCGAUCGGAUCGUAGUUGAUUGGAGAUUCAGGAGCAAACCGUUCUUGAAUCAUGAUCAAAAGCCUCAGCAAACUGUGUCGGAUAUCUAUAGAAAUGUGAUACAUUUCGUAACUGCCCACGGCGUCUGGAGCCAGCAACUGGAGACACAGUACGAGUCUCGGCUUUCAUGCCCAGCACGGCGGCAGAGACCUGCUCGGAAUAAGGCCCUCUGUAGGUGGUCAGAAUCUUGAGGGCAACCUGCCGGACCUCAUUGCAAAAUUCAAGUUUCUCCUGCCUCAGCUCAACCGGAAACUCGUCGGCCAUGGCGGUGCACAUCGCAUACAUGAACUUGGCCUCCUCCGAUGCACAUGAAGCAGGCAGCCGGAACAGCCGGCGGUGAGGCCGCAUUUUGGAAACGCCUCGCUUCUUCCAUGAUCUCCGGGCUCGGGUCACCGGCGAUUCUGGUAGACUCACCGUCGUCGGCCAUGGCAGGGAUGCGGCUCAACGUACAAACACGCCGCGGCGUUGAGACGUGCAGAGGGAUCGUCGACAUUAUUCAGGCCUUCCUCCAGUCUGAAAGAUUCGAAAACACUUUGGAUGUUCUUGUCGUGGUACCUCUUGACUUUCAGCGGAGGCGGCCGCCUGAGGCCUGACAGGAUCGUUUCCCCUGAGCUUCAGGAACUUCUCCAUGGAUAUGCAGCUUCCUGGCGGCAGGAUGAAUCGGCAGAUGAGGAUUCUGAGUAUGGCGAAAUCCAUCGUCUUCCUCGGAUCUAGGCCGACGUCCUCAAUUCCGAGGAUCUUUGGGUCGAUCUCGACGUCCAUCAGAAAGAAAGAAAGGAAGUUUUUUUUUUUUGAUUACUGAACGAAACUACAUCGUUCAUCAGUUGCCAUGGAAGAGAAGAAGAUGAUGUCUGCGCUGGUGGUAGCUUGAGUUGGGGCGACGCCUCUUCAGUUUCUGACACGCUGGACCCACACGGACUCAACUACUGCAAAUGUAUGAUUUGCCCGGGCACUCGUUCUUCUUGGCGGCUGGUGCGUGGGCAGAUUCAGCUACUAGUACGUUCCACCAGUGAAGUACUCCGUGUGUACUGUAGGUGCUAUAUAUGCUUACACUCUGAUACACAAAAUAAAAGAAGAUCUGACCCCUUCUUGCCCAUGCACAGAUGCAUCUGGAGGACUUGAAUGGACAGAGAGAUUUCGAAUAAUCAAAGGAAUCUGUGAGGGCCUACACUAUCUUCACAUGAACCGUAUUCUACAUUUGGACCUCAAGCCCGCUAAUAUAUUGCUAGAUGAUCACAUGGUACCUAAAAUUGCCGAUUUUGGUCUCUCGAGGUGUCUUGAUGAAAAUUCGGCCCACGCUACUACUACCAUGCACAUGUUUGGACACACCGUACGCUAAUCUCUCAAAAGCUCUUCUUUUUCGUUAGGUUUAACUUCAUGUUUGAUUUGAAUAUUCACUGACCAGGCCGACAUAAUCUUCUCGCAGGGGAUAUAUGGCACCAGAAAUAUUAUACGGAGGAAACCUACAAGAUCUAUACAUGUACAUCAGUAACAUAUUUAUGGAUACAUUUGCAUUGAGCGACCUCAGUCGAUGAAGAAUGAGAGGGAUGGAGUUUGUCAGCAGGGGUAAUGUACCUGAUAACCUGAGCCCGAGAAGAGAAGCUCUGUACACCAGGUGACAACUCUUUUGGACAUCACCAGCGUGUAUGGCAUUUCAUCGAACAACUCAGGUGCAAAGGCCAGGACAGAAGUGCACGCUGCCUUCUCGACGGCAGGGCAGAGAAGGAAGGUCAUGGUCGAAGCUGUAGUAGGGCACCCGCCAGCUCGCAGGUGGUUGGUGGCCACCGUCGGCGACGGCGCCGGUGGAGGUUGCGGGCAGCGGUGCCGACUCCGGAGUCCAAAUUUUGUGAGGACUAUGGCUGGGUUGUGUGUACUGUAAUCUGAAGAGCAUGUGCUGUACCUAAGUGCUUCAUAAGCCUAGGAGAAUGACAGACAAGAACACCGAGAGCUGUCUUGUGCAACGUAGUGAAAUGAUUCGCCAGGGCAAUCGCUCUUCUUGGCAGCUGGUGGGUGGGCAGAUUCAGUUUCAGUUACAGUUACACCCCACCGACGCAGCAUUUGCUAGUAGUAGCAGGUAGUUGCAUGAUUGCAUCUUGGAUUUGAGACAGAGAGGGAGGUUACCUACCUGAACCAUGCACUGUUUUUUUUCCUUUUCAGUGGUUUAGGUCAACCUCUGGCUGAUUGGUAAUGUUGAUGAUCUUAAAAUAUAGGGACACAAAAUAUAGGGUCAGCAAGGCCGGUGAAACAAAGAAACAAAACUAGAGCUGUUCCUAUGGUCUGAGAAUCCUCACUGGGAUAAUUAAAGAUAGAGAAAUGAACAAUAUAAACAGAUGUAAAAGACAUUAAGCUAUUGAUCAUAAGCCUCAGAAAGCCGCAGAAAUAUCGUCAUCAGGUAUCUGACUGUAAUUCCAGCAUAAAGCUAAUCAUCAUUGGCUUAAAUUGCGGUACAGACCUUUACAAUGUAAAAGACUAAUAAAAACAAUCGCAUUACUAAAAAAUGUCGGAAGAAAACAAGGCGUAUCAUCAGAAUAUAAAUGCCUUCUCAUCCACAGGAAAAUAGGCAGGUGUCCUAAGAUUGUUUCAAGGUUUCAUCAUAUGAUACUGACCAAACCAGGAAGAAACAAAACAACUGAUAAAAUGUUUUCUAAUGGAUUCAGUUGCAAAGAUGGCAUCAUACAGGCAGCUCAAGCCACCCCUCGGAUCGAGUGUUGGAUUAUGCAUCAAUACCCCCUCACAAUCCAAACAGGUCUUCUACAUUGGAAGGCAAGAUGAAGCAAACAAAGAACAGCCAAGAAAGAUUUGGAGAAAGAUGCUCAGUGGUGGCAAUGUUUCAAUUGGUUCAAUUCUGCCAGCAAUGCCAUGCAUGCAACAACAAGAAACAAUGUCUAGUUGAGUGUUUGUUGUGCAACAACAGCAACAACAAAAAUCUAGUUGAGUGUUGUUCCCAUCCCUGCACAGCAAGUGUAAUGACUAGAUAAGGGAUAAAAUUGGCAAUUAACAACAGAUAAAUAUAUUACUACUCGACAGAAUGAACAUACUAGCAGAUGUUAUAGAUGAGAGCACAGCAUUGGGCCUCUUAAAGUGUCUGCUCACCACUUGCAAGUUUCGAAUUGUAGGGUUCGUCGCUGCUAAUCCUAAUGUGGCAUUCCAUUCUACAUGAACGGCAAAUCCCAAAACUUUCAGACAAAGAUGAUAGUACAGCAUUACACCACAAAUUUCCGCCGUAUCUCCGUGCCGCUCACUCAUCAGCGUGCUUCUUCUUUUUCUUCUUCUCCUUCUUGGCAGACACGUCGAUCUCCAUGGGUGCAUCCUCAGCGUCCAAUUUCUUCUUUUUUUUCUUCUUCUCGCCAUCGGCGUCGGCUGCAGGGGUCUCCUCGGCCUCCUUGCUCUUCUUUUUCUUCUUCUUCUCGCUAGCGUCGGUGACGGCUGCGGGGGUCUCCUCGAUGUCCUUGGAUUUCUUCUUCUUCUUCUUGGACUUCUCUUUCUCCUGCUCGCCAUCCUCUUCAGCUGCCUCCGCAGUAGGUUCUUCCUCUUGGUGCUUCCUCUUCUUUGAAGCAACUUCUGACUUCUUUGGCGUUUCUUCAGUGGUUUGUCCAAGCACAAGAUCUGCUGCUGAGUUGUAAGUCUGACAAUGACAAACAAAUAAGGUCAGGCAAGUUUCAAACUCUAAUUGUUCAACAGUAGUAUGUAUUACUGGGAAAUACAAAGGCUGCUGGUUAAACACAUGCUCUGUGACAGAAUAUGCAGAAUCCCUCUAUUAUGUUAGGUAACAAAAAUAUACAGUGCUCACUUGGACACUCUUAAUUAAGAGCAAGUCUGGUUUUUGCUAUUACAUAACAUAUGUAAUUGUUAGAUCUGCCAGGAUCUUGAUCAAUAAGAACAAAGUCAGUGUAACAUCCUGAUAAUUAUCUUUCAAUUAAAAAAUAAUCUUCUAGUUAAAUGAGAAUUCUACUGUUUUUGACAAAUGACAAUGUUUAAUAACUGGUCUACACUUUGAAACAUAGAGCAAGCCAAAAACAACUUACUUUAGCGGGAGUGAUCAGAGCACCACCACCCUUCCGGUCCUUUUCAUACGCUUCUAUCUUGGGCUUUCCUUUCGUAGAACCAGCAGACCUCCCAAGUUCUUUACCCUCAAGAACUCGGAGCCGUGUUUCAAGCUGUUCAAAGAUUCAAAUAUGAGAACAAUAUCUUAUCUACGGUGUCAAGAAAUUGCCUCUACAGCACGGUAACAAGUACCUUGAUCCUGCUUUCAAGACCCAUGGAGUUAUCGUCACCGUCAGCAAGGGCGUCAUAUCUUAUGGCAAGUGCACUCUUAGCAGCAAGCGAACGAGAGAUCUUUCCCUUGUGCUUGGGAGCCGCCUGUCCAAUUAAUGAUGCAUGAUAGAUGAGACCAUACUUUGGUGUAGCAUGCUUUGUCUUCAGAGCUCUGAAUAAGGCCUGCAGAAAAAUAUAACCAGUUUAAGUCCCUGGGGCUAAAGCUAAAGUUCAGUUGCAGCAAAAAAAUGAUAACUUCAACCACAAAAGCAUGACAGUGGUCAACUACCAGACAUCACGUUCAACUAGUCAAAGAAAGAGGAAUUUAAAAAUUCACAGAAACACACUGUAUGUAAUUCAACAAACCUUCUCUGCCCCCAGAAUCUGAAUCGUGCUGCCAGGCUGCUUCGCCAGAUUCAUCAAACUACCACCAUGGGAAAUAAGGCGAGCGCCAACAAGUUCACCAACAAGUGCAGUCAAGUUGGGAGCAAUGGUAUUCAUUCUACUUUUUAGAUAGUCAUAGAGCUGGGCUCUGUACUCAGAAAGAGCCAGGACUUGAUCACACAGUUCCCUAAUGUUUGAGAGGUCAAGAUCAUUGACUUCUGUUCCCAUGGAAAUUACAGCUGCCUCCUUCAGCUCUGCUUCCACUUCUUCUGGAAGUAUCUAAAAGAAGCAGAAGCAAUCACUUAAUACCAGGUUUCAGGCACAUGCAGAACACAAGUUUGGACAUGUGGACACAGUUUACCUCAGAGAAGUCAAGGUUAACUGCAUUAACACGAUUGCCCAUCAUCUUCACAGCUUUCGCAUAAUGGAUGUUAUCUGCAACAAUUUUUGUGAGCUCCGGAAAGUGCCAACCGUACCAUUCACGGACCCUCAUAGCGUAAGUGUUAAGCUCCUUGUCAAGAUCAUCCAACAAGCCAAUGGCCUGAAUGAUCAUAGUAUCAACCUACAUAAAUGGGCACAAUCAUGAAUUAGUGUAGCUUUACUAGAAGAACACGCAGCCAAAAGAAGAGCAUAACCAGAAGGCAUGCUAGAAAUAGAAGAGCAUAGUUUGUAACAGUGAGCACGAAGCAUGAAAAUAAUUUCAGAGUAAGCAUCACAAUUCUGGGUGCUUUGCAUCAGUAGAAAGCUCACCUUUUCAGGGCUGAACUUGAGUUUAUACCUAGACAAGCUGUGGGACAAUCCUAGGCUCAUUGGACCUAGAUCAUGCUCAGCUAGUCCAGACAUAAGUUCAGUGAGCUGGUUCCUCAGCCCUCUCAUCAGUUCCAUAACAGCAGAGUUGUGAAGGCAAUCAAUUUGCUGCAAAAUCACAAUAAUAUUAUACAACAAUACUGAUCAACGCAUGUGAAUGGAACAGCUGAGUCUCCAAACCAACCAGCUUUUCUUUGAUGGCAUUCCCAAGUUUGGAAUCAGCAACAGCCAAUGUUUCACCAUCACAGUGCUUCUGCAGGAACUUGCGCAGACCCUUGCUGGGCUUGCUAUCAAUCAGCAAAGUUGCGGCUGAAAGAGCAUCAGAAGUAUUUUCAAACUUGUUGAAAGCCUUCAGCUCAACCACCUGAUAUAAAAUCCAUUACGGCAAGUCAGUAAUGAACAACAAUACAGGAGAGAACCCUUAAUAUGAACCAACAAAGAGAACCCUACAAGACAAUGCUGAAGAAUCUCAACAAAACAACAAAGCACCAUUGGUCAUUCAACAAGAAACAUGCGAAAAUACAUCAUAAAGGACGCACAAACGAAGCCUCUCACAUUAAACCUACACAGACCAUCUAGUACAACAGUAUACUAAAUUAAUCUUAUGUAUUAACUGGCUUGGAAAAACUGUAAUUUUCACUGGUAACGUUUGGGGACCCAGUAAAGAUUGUAACUUUAGCAAAGCAGCUACCACAAUAAUACUACAUACACAGGUUUCUGCAUUAACAGAUUCUAUAUGACUGAUUCCAAAACAGCCACAGUAGACUAUAACUAACAAGGCAGUGGAACCGUGACAAGUCAGAGCAAACUACAACACCGAUGAGUAACUCAAAGACAGAGCCA
rnacentral:lncRNA from 1 species